UUAUAACUAUAGUAUAAUUACAGCUAGCUAGAUUCUGUGUUUGGCUUAAUUUAUUUAAAUCCAACUACUACAGUUGGAACUGGAUAAGAAAACUUAACCGCAAUAGUUAAAACUAUGCUUAAAUUGGCAACAGUUAUAACUGCAGUAGUUGGAGAGAAUAAUUUUAAACAAAAAUAUAAACUUAGACAAUCUCACAAUCACAUAUAUAAAAUAAUAAAAUUUUAAAUAUACGGUUCUCAACUGUAUGUAACCAGUGGAAUUAUUUAUAGUUAUGAUACUUUCUAUGAUAUAAGUAAAUAAAAUACAUACAUGAGUUAUAACUGUUGCAAACUAACUAUAUACAUUUAUAGCCGACCGUUCCUAACGCAAGUAGCAAAGAGCUUAAUGGUUGAUAUUUGAAGUCCCAAGUUCGAAUCUUAGUUGAUUCAUAUUUUUAACUAAGUUUAUUUUUAAAUGAAAUAAAUAAAACGAAUAGCAUAAUAUCUAUCUUUCAAAAAAAUACUGUAUAUAUUUAUAGUAAUAUGCAUAUUUAAUUAUACUGUAUUUUUAAUUGCAUCGAGCCAAAUGGGUGUCAAAUUAUCUAAUAGAGGUACCAAGCAAGCAUUGUUCGUAUAGAAGGGAACCACACCGUGCAUUAAAAGUACCAGUAAAAUCUAAGCUAACCAGCUAAAUUCAGACCGAAACCGACCCUGUUCCGUAGUCAUGUAGAGCUUACAGGAAAGUUCAUGCAUCACAUGCCCUCCAAUUAAUUCGUCCCCAUCCAGAAAUCAGCGGCGUAGUCGACGGAUUAGGCCUCCUCCUCGACUCAUAUCCGUUCCUCGUCCUCCGUUGUUGACUCUCACAGUAAUGUAAUGUAUACUUCAAUUAAUAAUGUACAAGCACACGCGCUGCAUACCCAUGGGUAGACACAUACAGCUGCAUCCGGAUUCCCAGUUACUGUACGAAGCUCACGCGAAACACUCCAGAACCAACCCAACACACUUCAUCUCCCUUCCUAUAUAUAUAUAUAUAUGUAGAGGCCCUGGCCUUCUCCUCCUCUUCCUACAAGACACACAACAAUCUCGCCUCUCCUCUCCUCUCCUCUCCUCUCCUCUCCUCUUCUAAAAUGGCUGCUUCUCACUUGUUACUAGUACUAAGCAUGCUUCUGAUGAGCUUAGCCCGUGCGUCCACGGGGUCUCGAAAACUCGCAGCUUUGUACCAGCCACAACCGAACCUCCUCACGUACCACGACGGCGCGGUGCUCGAAGGCGACAUCCCCGUCUCCGUCCUCUGGUACGGUCGCUUCACCCCGGCCCAAAAAUCCAUCGUCUCCGAUUUCCUCCUCUCCCUGAUGGCCCCCGCUCCCCAGACGCAAACCGCUGCCCCUUCCGUGUCCCAGUGGUGGGGCAGCAUCGACCGGCUCUACCUGUCCAAGGCCGCGGCGGGGGAGGGGGAGGGGAAGGCCCGGAUCCUGCUGGGCGAUCAGGUGUCGGACGAGGGGUGCUCUCUGGGGAAGUCGCUGACGACGCCGCAGGUGGCGGAGCUGGCGGGAAAAGCACGGGGGGCGGCGAAGAAGGGCGGCGGGAUCGCGGUGGUGCUCACGGCCGACGACGUGGCGGUCGAGGGCUUCUGCGUCAGCCGCUGCGGGGCCCACGCCUCGGACCGGGACUCCGGCGCCGCCUACGUGUGGGUCGGGAACGCGGCGGCCCAGUGCCCCGGCCAGUGCGCCUGGCCCUUCCACCGCCCCAUCUACGGCCCACAGACCCCGCCGUUGGUGGCCCCCAACGGCGACGUCGGGGUCGACGGCAUGGUGAUCAACCUCGCCAGCAUGAUCGCCGGCGCCGUCACGAACCCGUUCGGGGACGGGUUCUUCCAGGGGCCCAAGGAGGCGCCGUUAGAGGCGGCGACGGCGUGCGCGGGGGUGUACGGGAAGGGGGCGUAUCCGGGGUACGCCGGGGACCUGCUCGUGGACCCCGCCACGGGGGCGAGCUACAACGCCAAUGGGGCCCACGGCAGGAAGUACUUGGUCCCGGCCCUGUUUGACCCGUCGACGUCCUCCUGCUCCACCUUGGUGUGAGACUGGGGGAGGGGGCGCACAAUUUUUGAUUACUUUGGGACGCAUGGUUGUGAUGUGUGAAUAUGGCUUUAUAGUACGUUGUUGUGAUUUUUUUUGAUUCAUUUUGAAGUAUGUAUGUCCUCUCUUGUUAACUUGUUAGUUGUUGCUCUCCAAAAAAGUUAAAAAAAAAAAAACGUCCUCUCUUGCGACCGUAAUCUAAUCCAUCCAUUUUUUUAUAGUAAACAGAGUCAACGCUUACUUGGACGAGCAUAUGAGAAAUCCGUUACUUACGUAGGCCCAAAAUAGACCACUCAAAAACACGGCAGAUUUUGGUGUCUCGGCACCGACUUUGCAUAUAUAGUCUGCAAUAAGUCGCUAUUCCGUCGCCGAAUUCUAUGGUGUUUUCAACUAGCUCCGCACAUAGCUCCGCCGAGUCUGAUAAUCUAUAAAAACUUAAAAAGUAGAGAAUGCAAUAAAGUGUGUAAUAAGGCCGUCGAAGGCGUUCAAUUCGGAUUAGAUCGAUCUCCCCGCUUCAAUGGCGUCCACUUCCUCCCUUCUCCUCCCCUCUCCACCCUCCACCUCUCGUCGCCUCACCUCUCCUCACCUCCUCUCCUCACCACCCUCCUCCUCUCGCCUCCUCCGGCGACCUCCCCUUCGUCUCCGCCCUUCUCCGAUCGCCUCCGCCGCCUCUCCGCCGCCGCGCUCGGCCUCAACCGCCGCCGCCUCUCCGCCGCCGCGCUCGGCCUCAACCGCCGCCGCCUCGUCCCCUCUCCACGCCCUCAUCUUCGACUGCGAUGGCGUGAUCCUCGAGUCGGAGCACCUCCAUCGCCAAGCCUACAACGACGCCUUCGCGCACUUCCGCGUCCGAUGCCCCCCCGCCUCGCCCGAGCCACUCCACUGGGCCUCUGAAUUCUACGACGAGCUCCAGAACCGGAUCGGCGGUGGAAAACCCAAGAUGAGAUGGUUUCCUACUCAAUUCUCUCGCUCUAUCAUUCGUUCAAAACCCUAAUUCUCUGUAUGCGGUUCCGAUUCUUAAUGUCUUGUGUUGGUUGGGAUCGGCAGGUAUUUCGGUGAGUACGGAUGGCCUUCUUCUUCGAUCUUCGAGACGCCUCCAUCGAGCGAUUCGGAUAGGGAGAAGUUGGUUGAUGUCCUCCAAGUAAGCAGAGUUGAAUAGUUUGGAAAUGUGCUACGUACAUCCUCUUAUUGUUGAAUUAUUCGCCUAAAAUGAUCAAAUUAGUUUAGGAGAAAGGAGUUAUCAAGUGUUUUUAUGAUAUAAAUUAGUGUCCUGUUUUUUUCUGUUGAGCAUGCUUAAUUGCAUACAUAAAUUCGUAAUAUCAACUUCUUUUUUACUAUAGAACUUGGUUAGGAUAUUUUGCUGAAUUUUAACCGAUAUAUUGUCCUCGACCAUCGGAAUCUAUCCUCUAUGUUGAACGCUAAUAAUAAUUCAUCCAGGCGGUGUUCUUUCCAAUUUUGUCUCUUUCACAGCAGUGAGAAAUUACUUUUCGUUUGAAAUUGUAUUUACUUAAAACAUGAUUCCCUAAAUCGGCAGCAUAUCUGAGAUUGUUCUUUAACACUUUCCCGAGGUGCCGUUUCUAUUUUCCCGCGGUUCCAAUCAACAAGCUUAUACAUUGAUGCUGAACCUUUUCUUUUUCUUUUUUCUUCUGCAGGAUUGGAAAACCGAAAGGUACAAAGAAAUUAUCAAAUCUGGAACUGUAAGUUAUUUUUUGAAACCUGAUAAUAAAUUUUCCUGAUGAAUAUUGUUGCAAAAGAUGCUUCGCUUUGAAACUUUUAGCUAAUUGAUGAAGACUUUUACGUCAUUAGGUGGAGCCUAGACCCGGUGUUCUGCGAUUAAUGGAUGAAGUCAAGGGUGCGGUAAUAUGACUUAUUGCAUGUACCUUUAUGCGAAUAGAUGUUAGUUUGACUUCAUACAUGAGCUCUUUAAAUGUGGAUUUAGUUUUUUGAUCUUCUAUGUGUGUAUAUUCCUGUUGUUUGGGGACCAUCUCAGUUACAUUGUAGAAAAGGUGCUGAUGACAUCAAAACACUUAGUAGGGUUUAUCUUAUACUGUUGUAGGGUAUCAAACUUGCUGUUUGUUCCGCGGCGACUAAAAGUUCGGUUAUCCUUUGCCUUGAAAAUCUUAUUGGGAUAGUAAGCCAUUUUCUGUUGUUUCUUAGGUAACCUUGUCUUAUUAAUGAUUUGUUGUAACCUUGCGCUGACGCUGCUUUUUUUGGCCUCUUUCUCCUUUUAUGUUACCAAUAGGAACGAUUCAGGAGUCUUGACUGCUUUCUUGCAGGUAUAUACUUCAUUAUAUUUGUUUGUUCAUUCUAUACUCUUAAUAACAAGAUGUGAUCAAUGCCUAACUUUGUUGAAGAAUGAAUUCUCAAUGAACAAAUUAGUAGUUUGAAGUUCAUAUGUUCUUUCAAUUCCAACUUUGACAGAAAGUGACUCGUUCAAUCUCCUUUUGCUUUGUCGAAUUCUUGACAAAUAAUUUGUGCUGCACUUUCAUUGUUGUCAAAUGAUUUCCCUGGUUGCAGGUGAUGAUGUCAAAGAAAAGAAGCCUGAUCCGUCAAUAUAUAUUACAGCUGCUGAGGUAAUAAAAGAAAUAAAAACAUUUUUAAGUUUCCUUUCUUUUUAAAACUUACUAACUUCUCUAGCUAAUUUCUUCACUUCUGUGAUUAGAAACUAGGCGUGCAAUCAGAGAACUGUCUAGUAGUGGAAGAUAGUGUUAUUGGGCUACAAGUAGGUCCUCGCAUUCUGCAAUAUCAGCCUAUUUAUUGCCCCUUUUUCGGUCUUUGAGGAGAUUUUUAUUUUUGAUAGGCGGCAAAAGGAGCAGGAAUGUCUUGUAUAAUAACAUAUACAUCUUCAACCGCUAAUCAGGUGAAUUUAUGGUCUGCUUUUAAAACUCGCAGCACUUCACAAAACCUGAUUCUUCGCCUUGUGACUUUGUACUUUUUUUUUUUUUGUAUAUUAAUAGGAUUUUAAAGAUGCAAUUGCAACCUAUCCUGAUCUGAGUAGAGUGAGGUAUGUAUUGUUUCUGUAAUGUUUAAGCUUGCUUUGUUUGUUGAUGCAUAAUGGAAAGUUGCUGUGUUCGCAGGCUCGAAGACCUCAAGUUACUGCUCCAAAACACUUUGGUUUCUAGCUAAAAAUUUCCAUUCAUUUUGCCUGGGAGCAAUGCAUGGAAAUACGAGGCGUGGACACUGUGCUUCCAUGUAUUUGAUUUCCAAUGUUCAUUUAUUAUUUCUCCAAAUGAUUGGAGAUUGAGAUAUUCUAGUGUAAGAAUGUAUCUAUAUAGCAAGUCAUGUUGCAUCUUGCAGUAAGCAUCCUCUUUAGUACCUAUUCAAAAAUAAAAUAAAAAUAAUAUAAAAUCCUCUUUUGUUUUUAUUUAUUUCCUUGGUGAAAAGAAACCCCAUCUUUCAAUAGGUACUAUAUUGGUAGUUUUAUUCACAGAUAGCUUUCCAGAGUCAUUUUAACCUGUAGCUAAGCUUCAAGUUUAACCGGACUAAUAUACAAGAGUUUCUGGAGAGAACAUCAUAAAAUUAACAUCUUUCACAUGAUUUUAUUUUUGAAAAGCAAAUUCGGAUGACGAAUUCAUUAGCCAAUCUACAAGCGUGUCACUAGAAACAUACUACUUGUAGAAAAUAAAUAUAUUAAACCCUGAAUCUACAAAUUCUAGUACUGUUAAGACGACAGCUGGUAAUUACAUGAUAUCAAUUACAAGUUCAGUGAAAGCUCAGCGUGUGUCAAGGAUAUUAGCCCUUUUAUUAUUCACUCAGAAAUGUUGCCUCAGAGGUCAGAAAUUACGAUUCUCUAUAUUUGCCUUUCAAACAGCACAGGUUCAAAUCUUGGACGGUAGUAUCUCAUUUUUUGAGAGUUUGUGGGUGCAAUAUAUAUCUUUCGUUUUUUUGUUCUUUUUUCUUAAACAAGGUGAAGUGAUCACUGCACUGUAUGUAAUCGAAAAGAACAUAUAAGUUGAACUCAAAGGGUGUUUUUAGUCGCAUAUCCAACCGACGCUGAGUAAUAAUGCCGAAGAUACAGCACCUCUGACUGACAUUAAUGUAUGCUUUCCAUAUGAAACCAUCAUCUAGUCCCAAAUUUGUAACUUCUACAACAAUUAGCCAACGCAACUGCUUCAAUGAGGAAAAUGUCUCAUGCAGUUUGCUUUCCUCAAGCCAAACAAACCUCACGCUGAAGCUUGCUACACUGCUUCAUUUCAAGGGCUUUCACAUCACCUUGGUCGGCUCCAACUACAACCACUAACUCUUGUUGCAUUCUGCAGGAGAUGACGGUUUAAAAGAUCAAGUUUGUCGAUUCCAUAUAUUGCCCUUGACGAUCGGUCCACAAUAGUCCUGAGUUUUACGUCGAGCUGAUGAUCUCUGACUCGAUGCGGAAGAAUUAUGCGGCCCUACUGAAGAAAGUGUUGGUGAAGCUCAACAAGUUGCAGGGCGUACCCCUGGUGAGUUGUAUUGUAUACAACUUUUUAAUGCUUUCACUUUGGAUCCUACGUGGGUGACCUGGGGCACAAAUGUGAGCUAUUUUAUGGCCUAGCUUCACCUGGAUGAGCUCAUUCAAAGAGGAUAUAUAUAUAUAUAUAUACCACUUUAGCUUUAUCUCACUUUAGCUUUAUCUCAAAUACUUCGUUCGUUCGAAAGGUGUAAUGUGGGCCGUGCAGUGCUUGUGCCAGGUUGCAUGCCAGUCCAGUAGCACGACACAAUCGACUUGCAUCCACAUGUUGGCCGUCCGUGCCGAGCUGCAGGCCGGCGAGAUUUAGACCUGCAUGGCCAACGCAUGAUGCACGGGCCAGACCGUACGAUGCCAAUCGACUUGCAUCCACAUGUUGGCCGUCCGUGCCGAGCUGCAGGCCGGUGAGAUUUAGACCUGCAUGGCCAACGCAUGAUGCACGGGCCAGACCGUACGAUGCCAUGGGCCGGCUGGCCGCAGCCCCGCAUGGCCCACACAUGAUGUACAGGCAGAGACUUUAAAUUAAAGUAGUGAAGAUUUUUCUCUAUUACACUAAACACAUAUUAACGUGUGAAGACUCGAAUUCAGAACCUCCUAACUUCUUUUAGCAUAUCUAUAUUCGGCUCUUCAUCAUAUGUGACAUUAAUUCGAAAAAGUCUCCAUUAUAUAAGAUUGUUGAUCUUGUUUUUAUUGCGCAGAUGAGAGUUACUUAACAAAAUUGGUUACCUGGACACUUGCAUAGACCGGAUCCCUGGAAAGAAAGGCAUCUGCCUCAAACAUCUUCCUUCAUUUAUCAGAACAACAGAUCCUCGCGCCGUCUCACUAAGCAUGGAAAUUGAAUUAGCUAAGACUUGUUCAAGAGCUUCCGGUUUAAUGUUCGACACGUUCGAUAACCUCGAGAAUGAAAUCAUAAAACCUCUGAUUGCAUAAUAAGAUGAAGCCUAUGCACUUGAUCCUUUCGAAAGCUAUGAUUGCAUAGAGUGGCUAAACAAUCAAAAGAAUGUUUCUGUUAUUUAUGUGAGCUUUGGGAGCACCAUAUCAAUAACAUCCCAGGAUUUAACUGAAUUAGCUUGGCGACUCGCAGAGAGCAACUUUGCCUUCAUGAGGAUCAUUAGGCCUAGUUUAGUAGAAGGCGGUGUCGAAGCAUUUCUAAGGAGUUCAUCGAGGAAACUAAAGAAAAGUGUUUCUUCGCUAGUCGGUGCCGACAAGAGGAAGUGCUCUCUCAUCCUUCUAUUGGUGCUUUCGUAACUCGCAACGGUUGUAGUUCGAUGUUCAAGAGCAUCUGCAGCUACGUGCGGCGAUGGUUUGUCGGCCAAGAUACGCAGAUGAAUGCGCAAACUGCUUUUUGGCUCGCAAGAAAUGGAGAGCAGGGAUAGAGAUGGACCAGGAGGAAAAGAGAGAAAAUGAUAGAGAGGUGGUGAGUGUGGUAAUGGAAGUAAAAAAAAAAAAGAUGAAAGGGAAGGGGAUGAGGGAGAGUGCAAUAAGAUGGAAAGAGAUGGCACAAGAAGCUGCAAUGUGUGGAGGGUCUUCAUAUGACAAACAUGGAGAGGUUACUAGGGGACAUGAAUGAAUCCCCAAUCUCCUGAUGAAUUAAAGGAUAGUAUUAAGACAAAUAUGGUAGGCCUGUAAUCUAAAUAAGAUAUAUUUCCUAGCUAAUCAUGCGGUGUUUUAGAGUUGCUCUAUGUAGCAUGAAUGAAUCAUAACAAACAUUCAAAAGAUCGCGAAUGUGAAUCCACAUUUAAAAUUUUCAACAUUUCUUCGCAUGGUAUUCGAAAUGUCUCGCGACAGAUGAUUCAUUGAGAAGAUGCCUGACAAGAAUGUUAAUAAAAAAAAAAAAUGAAAAUAAUCAAAAAACAAAUAAUGAAGAUUGUUUAGUAAAUAUCCUAGGGCACAUGUCACAACUCAUGAUCAUCCAAUUCACUUUGCCCUAGUCAUGAAUCUUUUGUAGGAGGGGAAGAGAGAAAAAAAAUUAAAAAAAUUAAAAAAAAUCUCUGCUUAAUAUCACUUAUUUGAGCGAGAUUAAAUCUUCUCAUGGUACUUCCGAGUCGCCAAAUAUGUCGAUGAAUGAAGUGAGAGUUGAAAAAUAUGCAAACUGGCUUCUUCAAGCAUCUGUGCUCUCGGCAUUUGAUCCCGCCGCCGACGGCGGUUGUGAGGCAUGAGAAUCUGAGACAAUCAAGACAGUUGAAAAUUGUAACCAUGUUCAAAUAUAUAUGUUCCAGAAAUUAUAUCAUUUACAUGUUAGAUUUUAUUUAUCAGAUCUGAAGUUUUAGUUUUCCUGCAUCAUAACUUCCAGGGAGUGUUGGCAUGCCAUCUUGGGACAGCACAGUUUAUUGGACGUGAUAAAAAUUGUUAGUAUGUUCUCCAAAAAAAGUUGAAACUACUAAUUUAGGAAGUAUGAGUGUUAGAUAUUGAAUAUGACUGCAGAGUAAAUACAAGCAAAUACCAUUUUCUUUAAUCAGACAAAUCCUAUACUUCAAUAGAAAGGACUAGUUUUUAGUUUUGUGCCUUAAAUUUGGACGAGAAAAAAUAAAAGCAAAAAUAAAAACACUGCCAAUGCCACAUGCAUGGUUUAAGACAUCAUGUCCUGUAAGUACUAAAUGUUGGGAAUAAAUUAAAUGCCUUGCAUUAUAGGUGCAAAAGUUCUGCACAUCAAUGUGCAUAAAAUUUCUGCACACUAUAAUCUAGAAUCAUCUGACAAAAGGUGGGAUUGAUCUCCACCAUUGAAUUUCUUCUUCUUGGUGGAGAUUGAUCUCGUCUUUUAUAUGGAUGAUCAAAUAAGGGUGUGCAGUAAAUUUUUAUACACUAGGAUAGUUAAAAGUAUGAAUUGGCAUAUUUGCUUGUGAGUUAGACUGAUGUACAUGCAAGUAGCUAAUGAUCUAUUGAUGUUCAACUAAAUGUCAUAUGUUAAAUUUGAAAAUUUUAGACCAAUUUCUAAUUAUUAUAUUUAUCGUAUCAACUCAUCAAUAAUAAUAUUUUAGGUUACUGUACACAUGUAACUAAUCAAAGUAAUAUGCACAAAGAAAUACUGUAUGUACGUACCCUCAAACGUGAGGUAUAAAUUAUACAUCCAUCCAUCUAUCCAAAAAAUUUACACAUUUUUUUAUUUUUUAAUAUUAUAACAAAUUAAUGAGAUUAGUAUAAAAAAUGUUAGUCCUUUGAUAAACAGAACGUAAAAUUUAUACUUAUUUUUUGAAUAUACAGAAACUUUUAUAAAAGAUUACCUGUUAUGUUGAGGGGUUGUUGUCUCACGUGAGGAGGGUGUUGGAGUUGAAAGUUAGAAGGCAAGGAUGGCGGAGGAAACGGCCCCUCCAUCUGGGCCGUCGGAUACUGAAUGUACGGUGGAUGCGGCCUGUGCUGAGGUGAUUGAAAACUAGUCCUUGGAUUUGGCAUGGUGUAUCCCACACCCGUAUAAUGGUACGGUGGAGGGCCCACGGUGGAUGGUGAGGUGGCCCCAUACAUCUGGUAGUAUUGCGGAGUCAUCUGAGGAUUGUACACAGCCUGUUCGUAUUUAACAUUUACUUAUUUACAGUAUAGUAACGUUAUAAGAAAAUAUCUAGAUAUAGGAAAAGGAUUAAGGAUUCGAUGAUACAUAUGUACAGAGCUAGGCUGCGAUACUAUCGGUAGCCGAUAGUAUAGCAACGGGACUCCGUAUAUACAUAUGUGCGUUAAUAUAUGGGAGAGCCUGAUCCGAUUAACAUCAGCUAAAAUUUUCGUAGUAUCAAAAUCGGAGCUCAUAAUGAAUCAGAAAUGUCAAAGAAUAAAAUUAGAGCUUCACAUACUCGUUUCUGUAGCACAAUUGGUUUUGAAUUUCAAAUCCAUCAACCAACUAUUCUGAAUAGCGAUAAUAAUAAUUACUAUUUCAUACGUAAGUAACGCUUGUUCUCUUUUUCUUUUCUUUUUUUUGAAAAAGCGCAUAUAAAUAUAUGUAACUUUUGUGAUUAAAGUUCACCAACCAAGUGGUGGUUUCAAAAUGUGCAUUAAUAUCUUGAAUUGAUUGUGAUAUGAAUAAAUUUUGGACUUAGUCACUAAACACCAAAUAUCCAAAAUAGAAAAAAAAAACGAAGAAGAAGCUAAUUUUAGUUGAGAUAAGAGGAAGCACUUUACUUGUUGGUAUCCAUAAUCAGAUGGGUAGGUCAUAUACCUGCAAAAGUAGACACAGUAAUAAGUGGAUAAGCUAACAAUGGAGGCACUAUAAACGUAGUGGACUUUUGGGCCCACCAACUAUUUAAAGCCCAAUUAAUGAGCUCAUUGGAGUACAUUGUCAGAGAACAGGACCAUCCAUAAUUUUCAAAUUGAGAUAAACCAAUAAAUAUUUUUGCAGUUCCACAUGGACCUUGAUGUGCCUAUAUACACAUAUAUAACCCUCCAUCAGAUUGGCCCAAGAAAAUCAAACAGCAAUAUAUUUAUCAACAGUCAUAAUAAAGGAGCAAUGGCCUAUAUAUCCCUGAAAAAUAGAGAAACUGUGAAUUAUCUCCUAUAAAAACAUGAUAAAACCCUUUAAAAACAAUUUUUAGCAAUUCGAAUUGCGAGAUAUUGGCAGUCGAUUGACGUGAACAAACAGUCAUUUGAGAGAAUGUAUUUAAACUUUAGAAAAUAAUUUUUUUAAAAAAAUUGCGGAGAUAAUAUAGGCGUUUUCCGUGCGGCCGCAUGCAAGGCUCAUUGGAGGCAUUAAUUCUGAAGCAAACAGAGGCCACUUCAGAAUGAUUCUAUGGUGGAGCAGUGGAGAGGGUCCACUGAGUUAAAUGCCUGUGGCCAUUGCUCCCCCACCUAUCUAUUAAAUAGGCCUUCUCUUUGGCCCAUCUGUGCCUUGGGUGGGACCGAUUCUAUGUUAGUAAAGACUACUUAGGCCCAGUUUGGGAAAGCGUUCUUCGAAUACACUCGAUUACACUCGCUCCAUAUUUUAGAGGGCACCUGCAAACACUGGUAGCGCUUGCGAGCUUUCCUCCUCUGAUACUCUAAUAAGUAGCGGUUGGAACUACUGUCACCGGAAAGCGUUUUACCGGAUACUUCUUUAGUAGUUACUCUAACGCUCUAAAAUGAAUUUAGAUUUUCUUUUUGUGACCUACGAGCCGGCAAAGCGAGCUUGUUGAAGCAACUCAUUCCCAAUUUACGUGCUCGUCAAACAAAGGACCAAUCUAAUGUAUCCGUGCGUGAGAUUCAUAAGCCACGCACAUAAUUAUUUCACUAUAGCAACUACAUGCAACAUGCAUGUUAAAGAUUGUGGGUAUUUGUAAGAUAUAUAUAGUUUUUGUAUCGGACGCAUACCCGAAUUGAGUAGGGUAGAUUACUGGUGGGUGAGGAGGAGGCAUUUGGGCUGGCACUCUGCUAUAUGGUGGGCCCAUGGUCUGUGGUGGGCCCUGGUAUGGGGGCCCAGCUGGAGAUCUCCCUGUGCACAACAAAAUCUCCUUUAGGUCAGAAAUUGGAUUAGAGGGGGCAAAAAGAAAAUAAAAAAUGGCACAGGAUGUGCAAUAUUUAAGUAAACUAAUGGAUCUAGAAUUAGGUUAAUAAUUCGAACAACUACACAUGAGUUAGUACACCUACAGUUUGCUAAUCGCUUCGAUUGUAUCUUCUCUCUUGUUAAACUACCUCGGUGUUCCUUAAGAAAUGUAUGAAAAUAUUACAACAUAAGCAUCCAGACUUAUAUCUUGUUGCUUAUCGGAAAGACGAAUACGCUUGUUUUAAUGGCGCAAGUGGUCGCAGCAUCAUUAUGAUGUUGGUCUUCAUAUUCUUUUAUCUCUACUAAGUCUGCAUAGAAUAUUACCCUAUGAUUUUAAUAUGAGAAAAAAAGAGAAAAGAAUCACUAAUGGAUGGGUGGUCUACAAGCUCAAAAGUAGUCUUCUUGGUGUUCUUGGUCUUCCAUUUGACUUAGCCAGCGUAGCUAAACCAAACUAAGUGGUUUACUUGGAUCAUACCGGAUAAGAUCCAUAUUCUAAAUUAUUGUCUACAAGGAACCGUUUAAAAAUAAUACCUAUCAAAAUAACAUUAUAGCUCAUUGACAACCCCAGGCUUGGUAGCUAGGCUAGCUGACCUAGAACAGCGUCAUUAAAUAUGUGUUCAAACGUAUAACUGUGAAGCAUAAUGUGAUUCCAACAUAAUGCACUCCCUUUGACCAAUAAUUGAAACCUUUAAUUAAUAACAACAUCAAUUUUCCACACAAUUAAACCUUAUGAGCUAACGUUUGGAUAAAGAGGAUAUUGAGGCAUCGUAGAUAUGAAUAAGAUGGUAUCAGAAUCCAAGCCUAAACUAGCAAAUCUGCAGUUGAAUUUUAUUCUAUUCAAAUCUUAAAGCACCGUAGAAUAAAAUUGAGGGUAUAUAUAUAUAUAUAUAUAUAUAUAUAUAUAUAUAGUCCGGCUAUAGUGCUUAUAAAAGCACGAAGUACGUACUUGGUGCUUGUAAAUUUUUUUACAGUUAGCUCUAUACCUUUGAUCAUUUCCAAUCGUUAGAUUAUACUAUUCAACCAACCACCCACUCAAUUCUAGGAGGCCUACAUCAUUCUAACCGCAUAUUCUUUAAUCCAAUGAUAAAAAAUCUAUAAGCACCAAUAACUUUGUACUUUUAAAAGCAUCGAAGCUCAAUUAUAUAUAUAUAUAUAUAUAUAUAUAGCUAGGCUCCUAUACUUUCGAAAGUACGGAGGUCUCCGUGCUUGUAAGUUAUUUUCAAUGAUGGGACGUCCGAUUCGGCGAUCGGUUCCGUUAAACAAGAUCUACGCUAUUGGAACUAUCUAGAAACCAAAUUUCAUAAUUUUUGACUUCGUUUGCCUAGUGAACGAGUAGCCUCAAAAUGAACGGCUAAAAAUAAAAAUCUCAUAAAAAAUAGUGAUAAAUGACUCAAAUUUCAAAUCGGAAAUAUUGUUCUUGCUCUUAAUGUUAAGUAGAAUUUUCUAUUAAAGUUUCAAGUAAUUUGGAUACUUCUACACCAUUGAACUUAAAAACGUGCCACAUCGGCCGUUAAAAUAGUCAUUUUUGAGACCCUGUGAUUGCUUGAUAAAUGAUGUCAAAAAAUUAUAAAAUUUGGUUUCAUGAUAGUUCCAAUAGUAUAGGUUAUGCCUAACGGAGCCGAUCGUCGAAUUGGAUGUCCUAUCAUCGAAAACAACUUACAAAUACGGAGGUCUCCGUAAUUUUGAAAGUACAGGAGACGUACUAUAUAUAUAUAUAUAUAUAUAUAUAUAUAUAUAAUUGGACUGGACUACUAUUAGUAGCAAAAUCCCAUUGUUGCUACCAGUUUUUUAGCCUUUGGAUCAACUCUUUUCAUCAUUUCUAAUCAUUGGAUUAAAUACUAUAANAUAUAUAUAUAUAUAUAUAUAUAUAUAUAUAUAGUUUUUUAGAAAAAAAGAAAAAAGAAUUUACGCGUAAAUUUAGGCCAGGCUGGCUGAAGCCUUGGUGCCACACACACCAUGUACACGAAACUUUUCAGCAACUGUUACAACAUUGGGCCCCACCCACGUCUUUUAAGUCUUAACCCCUCGCAAAUAUCAAUGGCCACCGAAAUUGAGAACGCGCACAUAGUAAUGUACACCCUAAACACCAACCAAUCAAAUUUUCCUAAUCUUUUGUUCUAAGAAAUUGUACUAACGGUUUUGUUGUUUAACAAUAUUAAUCAUGAUCACGUACCUCUCUAGGUGCAGAUCCUGCAAAUCAUACUGUUGCUAUCAUGUCAAAUGAAAAUAAUAAUAAACAAAAAAAUAGUAUGUACUAUUAUAUAUUAUAUACUAUUUACUAUUAAUUAUCAUUAUCAUCAUCAUUAUUACUAAUCAUAUUAUUAUUAAUUUCUCCUUCCAUGUGGUUCCAGCUCACCUCGAGGUGGGGAGGGGCGAGGCCGGCCCUGGGAGGCAAUGUUGCAGUUGGCUCGCCGGCCGUCGAUCACCGGGUUCGGCUCCGACACCGACCGCCUCGCCGAUUCCGCGUCCCGGAACGUUACCUGCCCCAUUUAAUCAAUUCCCAUUUUUUCAGCCUUAAUUUUUCCUAUUAGCUUUUUUUUCUCAAAAAAAAAAAUACUACUAAUGGAUAAUCAACCGUAUUCAUUACACAUAAAUCAAUCUAAUAGUGAACAUUCUAUAUGUGUAGUAGAGUUUUAGUAUGUAUAUAAUUAAGAUGUAUAUGUUUUAUUUAUAAUGAUGAUAGAUAGGAACAAUUAGAAAGAGACUUAGAGAGAUUUUUUUGUAAAAAAAAAAAAAAAAACCAACCGCCUAAAUAACCCACACACGUACACAAAUAAAGAGCACUGUGAUUUUUUUUAAAAAAAAAAAAUUAGUAUGUUACCGUUUCAUUCAUUUAGAAAAUAAAUUUAGCGGCAAGAGAGAGCUUACAAAGCCAUAGCCUUUGGAGCGGCCGGUGUUCUUGUCGCGGAUGAUGACGGCCUCGAGGAUGUCGCCGAAGGGCUCGAAGUAGCGGCGCAGCUCCUCGUCGGGGGUCUCCCACGCCAACCCGCCGACGAAGACUUUCGUGUGGGUCGUGUCGCCGAACCUCGACCGGAACUGCCAGCCGCCGGAAGCAGAAGGGGUGGAAGAGGAAGAAGAAGCAGCCAUCUAUGCAAAUUGAUAACACCACCUCAGCCUCUUAAUUUUCCAGUAACUAGCUAGCUAGCUAGCUAGAUGUAGUAAGGGGGGGGGAGAGGUGGGCUUGGUUUUCUACUAAUGAAAAGAAGACAUGGGUUUCUUUGUAUUUCACCCAAUCAUAGCCGGAGAAGUAGUUAAUUAGUUGGGUCUAUCUCUAACGCAAGAAGAAACCGAUGUUAAUUUCUCGGAUGAAUAUGGGUUGCAGUUUUCUCUUGAUCCUCUUCUUUGGUGGUCUCAGCUCCUUCCAUGUUCCUAUAGCUUCUUAAUUUUGAAGAGAGAGAGAGAGGGAGAGAGAGAGAGAAGAGAAAUAGUAGUAGAGGGAUCGAGCUGGGAAAUUAAGGGAGGGAGGGAGGGAGGAAUCUAGAGAGGGUGGUGCGAAGGGGUAGUUCCGACAGGUGAAAAGGGGUUUCUCGCAGCUGCAUGAGGGGUUUCGAUAUCGAAUGACAGCUGCAUGAUGAUCACCUCCCUUCUUGCUAUUGCUCUCUCUCUCUCUCUCUCUCUCUCUCAGUUUUCCCCCUUGGUGUCCUCUGUCCUCUCUGUCUCCUUCUCAAAGUCCUUAAAAUACAUAUACAUAUCAAGUAAAAGGUCCAUUCCCUCUCACCAUCCCUCUCUAUGUGGUUGUUACUAUUAAUUAUGAAAUUUAGAAUGAGUCAGUAUUAUACACAUUAAAAUUUAUUUAUUUAACUUUUAUUUCAACUCAAGACCUAACUAUAGGAUGAGAGUGUAUUUAAUGCGAGUCCAAUUAUAAGCAAAAAUUUUCUACUCAGCUGCUAGUGUACCAAUGAAUUUUUUUUCUCUCUCACUUCUCUUACUUGAUUAUAAUAAAAUCUUCGUUAAAUCAGAGGCUAAAAUUACCGCCCACUUUUUUUACAGAUUCUUUAUAUCACACUACCUGAUCAGUAGCAAACUCAUCAAUUGCAUCACAGAAAAUCUGAUUUGCUGAUAGCGAAACUCAAUUUUGAAAAGCCAAACCACUGUCGAAUUACCAGUAUAAAAAUUUACUGGACGACAUUACGUACCGGGAUCUUCAAGGGUACCAAGGUAAUAUUCACUCUUAGCCUAAAAUCUGCUCACAUCCCAUGUUUUGUAGCUAAUGAAGAGGGUGGUGUGAUGGAAAAAGAUGGAUAUGUCUAAUUCUUUUAGUCCUCAUCCCAUCUGUCCAACAACUGAGCCAGAUAGACUGAGUUUAGGAUAUAAGUGAUAGAGUGCGACCAAACCACACCUCGUGAUUCAACCAAGAUGGGCCCAAUUCAGGGUGUCAUGAUCCUUUAAUGGAGCUUAUUGGUCGUUGUCGUUAAUUAUAACCGAACCCCCCUAAACCUCUUUGUUAGCUCUGAUUAUUUUUCUCCUUUAUCAAACAACUCUCCUUAAUUAAGCAUGCUAAUUCCGUACGUUAAGCAGUGGAUUAAUGCAUGGAACAGGACCACUUCGCAGUUAUAGCUUUAAUUUCGUGCUCUCACCCUGUACCCACACGCUAGCAUCUUUCCUAGGAAAAUAAAGAUGUUUUAAGAUAUAUAAUUAGGCGGUGCGGUGCAUUGAUAGUUGGUCAUCACACUACAACACAAUUAGAUUAUAGCGAUAUAUUUUUAAAAUAUUUUUUUGUAAGUGUCCCAUUUAUACCAAAAUUUUUAAAAAAUUCUAUUAAGGGGUAUAAAUAUAAAACUCAAUUCAACCAAAUAUAAAAUAUUACUCUACUUAUCCCAUUCUACCCAGCCUAUUUGUCCCGAUCACAAAUAGAAAAGAAAGAAAAAAAGAAGAAAAAUAGAUCACCAUCUUUCAUUCUCUACUCACUCAAUACAUUGAAAUCCUAGGCGAAGAGCCCCUCGCUCUCCUCCUCCUUCGCGCCACAGCCGACGAGAUAGAGUUCCGACGGUUGUUAAAUGCUUAAAUAAAUAUUGGUAAAUUAGCAGUAUUCUCUUUAAGUUAUACCAACACUCUUAAAGUGUUACUAUAUACCUAGUGAUUCUAUAUAUAACAAUAUUUUUAAAAAAUAUCGGUAAUUUAGCCAGUAGCACAUUUUUUGACUUAUACCAACAUUUAAAAGUGUCGCUAUAUAUCAUUUUUGUUGUAGUGUCGGAACAUAAUUUGCAAAGCUUCAGUUAGAUCCUUAAUUGUUUCAUUUUUUUUUAACAAUAAGAUUGGGCCUUUGUGUUCUUUUGAUGAAAAUGAUUUGAAUGCAUGCCAGGUAGAGACAUUCAAUUAAGAUCAUAAAAUAAGUACAGUACAGAAAAAGAAAAUAGAAGAAACUAGAAAACCAGGAAAUUAAGCCAAUGAUUGAGCCUAAAUUAGCCCAUCUGUUCUUUUAAUUAUAAUUGAGACCGUCAAUUUUCUCACGGAUAUAUCACCGUAUAUAGUUCAUGAAGGAAUUUAAAUACGAAGAUUCAGAUAAAUAGGUAUAUUUCUAAGGUUGCAAAAAAAUAGUGUUUAGGGGACCUAAAUGUAACAUUUGAAGACCUAUCCUGGGAGAUGUGGCAAAGAAGAAACAAAACAAUAUUACUUUAAAUAUAAAAUUUUUGCACAAAAUGCAAUGAUGUAUAUAAAGGACUAAUUUGAAAGAAAAGGAGCUAUAAAAACACACUAAUUAAUGGGCUGAUUAGGUGUUACCCUGAUGCUUGAUUAUAUCCAUGCAAAUGGAAGUUUAAUACUCAUGAUGCUAAUUAUUCAUUCUACAAAGCUUCUCGUGAUAUAUAUAUAUAUAUAUAUAUAUAUAUAAAAUAUUUUUGUGGUUACAAUAUCUCUUUACGUUCACAACUCACGCACAAGUAGCUUUUAAUUAACUUUAUUAAUAAUCACACGACCCGAGGAAAUAGAGAUGUGGGCAACUUAUAAUGGGAAAAGCAAAUCAGUUUCUGAGUUAGUUUACUUAAAAUUAAUCACGGAUAUAUAGAUUAUUAUGUGCCCAAAUAACGAAUGGCGUAUAGUACAAUAAUAAAGAAUUCUUUCUACCUCAUUUUUCACUUUAGAAAAAGGCCAAGCAUGUCCUUGUACAAACUGUACCAAACUGUAUACAUUCAUAUGCUUUGUCACGCCACCUACUUAGCAACCUUUUAAUAUGAUCCUUUUUCUGCUUUGUAGCUACUGUUUAUGGUGGAGCACACACCAACUUGAGAUUUGGACUUUUUAUCGAUCAUGAGAGAGAGAGAGAGAGAGAGAGAGAAAUCAAGAUGAGCAAGUCUUUGCUGUAACAGAUGUUUUAUAUAGAAAAUAAUUUUUAUUUUAUACAUUUUCAUCCUUUUUAAACUUACGAGGAUAAAUUUUUUAUGCUAUUAUAUAUCAUUUCCGGCAUAAGUGGUAAAAGUUUUGAUAGUUAGUAUCUGAGCUGAGAUUUAAGUUCAAAACUUAAUUAUUUCAUAUUAAAAAAAAAACCAAAAUAACUGGUAAUAUAAAUUAAUUAAUUUUCAAAUUUGAAAUCUGAUAUAUCAACCAUCAAGCAUUUUAUCAUUUAUAUUAAGAACGGUCAGUGUUGUUACAGAGAAGAGUUAAGAAAACUCUGCCGAAAGAAUUUGACAGGUUGUUUGAAAUUAAAUUUUGAUUUGAAUGAAAAGUGUAUAUAUGUGUUGCUCACCGGCACCUUAAAAAAAAAAGAUAAACUUCAAAUAUCACUCCUAUAGUUUCACGCUUUCUCACUUUAAUGCUAUAUAAUUUAAAGUGUAUCAAUUUAGUACUCUAUGAUUUUAUUUUGUUAUUUUUGUCCAUCAAUUCGUUAACUUUUCGUUAAAUAAUAUACAAAAAUACUUAAGAUAUUUCACAUAUAAUUUAUUGAAUAUUUAUUUUAGUAUUCUUUAGUUAUAACUUUAUUACUGAUUUAGCAAAAAAAAUUAAUGAAGGAGAUAACAAAAAAAAAUAAAAGUAUAUGGUAUGAAAAUGAUACACUUUAAACUAUAAAAUAUUAAAAUAAAAAAAUAUGAAACCUCAGAUAUUUGUAUUUAAAGUUUUUCUAAAAAAAUAAUUUUGCGAGAGAGAGAGAGAGAGAGAGAGAGAGAGGGGGGGAGCAGUUGUCCACGUGGUUUGCUGGCCAUCACUAAUGUGGGUGAGUUCUAAUUUGGGAGUUUAAACGGUUGGCUUUACACGUAGGAUGCCUUUGACCAUUGACCAAACCGACCAAUGGGGAGGUGAGAGCUAACAACAAUAGAUUCCAACUUUUCGAGCCCUGUUUGACCGGAUCUUAUGCCCAUUGAAUGCGUAUCUUUUUCUCUUCAGUGAAUACUAUCUCUCCAUUUAUUCCUUAACAUUUAUUUUCUAUUUUUUAAAAAAUGACUCUAAUUUUUCGUAUCAAACAAAUGGCCAAGUUUAUUGUGAUAUAGCUGCCUUGUGAAUUGUGAUGUCACUUUAAACCAGUUAAAGAGGUGAAAAUUUUUCUUUUUUAAGUUAAAUAAUGAGUGGUUCUUUUAUAUAUAUAUAUAUGCCACUUUAAACCAAUUAAAGAGGUGAAAAUUUUUCUUUUUUAAGUUAAAUAAUGAGUGGUUCUUAUAUAUAUAUAUAUAUAUAUAGAGAGAGAGAGAGAGAGAGAGAGAGAGGGGGGAGGGGAUUCCUACUCAGUGCAAACAAUUAUUUUUUAAUUUCUCAAAAUUGUAACGUUUUAUACCUAAUUUCUAUGACGUUGAAGAAAAUAACGUCAACGUCACAGCAUCCUCCAAAAAAUCUCUAUCAACAAAUGGUUAAUUAGUUUCAAUAUUUAAUAUUUAAUUGUGGCAGGUACGCCAAACAUGUUUAGGAUAUUGAAGUUUGAUUCAAAAUGAGAUCUAAUAAAUUCUAUUCAAAUCAUACUUCAUUAAAUAAACUUUAAAACAUACAUCGCUGAUAACAAUUUUCUUAUAAUUUAUGAUAGAAGCAUCUAUUUUCAAUCUGCUUCCGAACGUUUCUCGACGGAAGGUCCCCAUUUUUUCUCACAGUUUUAGGAUACUUCGCAUGAUAAGCUACUUGUGUUGGGUUAGUGGCCAUAAUUGGUCGAGUCACAUGAUUGGGUCGAGCUUAAUUUGCGGUCUGAGCUCGAUCUAUCUGUGUGUGCGUGUGCGUGUGUGUGUGUGUGUGUGUUGCGUGCUGUGCGGAUAUGACCUGGCCGGCACAAGCUGUCAACCUGCGGUUCUCACGUGCGCAUGUGCACGCGCGACAACACCACCCCCUCCCGCGCGCAUGAUCGCCUAAACGCGCCCGAACACCGCCACACCGAACAAGCAGAUCCCGAACAAGUGGGGCCCGCUGUACUAGGCGGACACGUGGAUGACACUUGGUGGUGCUCGGGCGGUGUGCGGUCGUCGUACUUGGAUGCGGGUCCUACGGUUGGGUUUGGUUUUGGUCGGCGGUGGAUUGGGUGGGCCGCGGGGUGCUGGUGGUAAACCUUUUCUUUUUUUUUUUUCUUUUUUUUUUUGUUCCUUUUUUCACGAGUCACUCCUUUUCGACAGUUAAUAUUAUAUUUCAAGUAGCCUAAUAGCAUGGAAAAGUAUAUGUGCGCAGAAGCACGGAGGAGAACUGACUGAAAGUAUAAAGUUUAGCUACGGUUAAUAACGCGAUGCUCACGACACUACAACAAAAAUAAUAUAUAACGACACUUUUAAAUAUUGAUAUAUGUCAAAAAAAAAUAUUGUUUGCUAAAUUACUGAUACUUUUUAAAAAUAUUGUUAUAUGUGAGGGUCGCUAUAUGUGGAUCGCCUCAAUAUUUGGCACCCACUACUCCAUCUAUUUGUGGCAGAGGGACGUGUGGCGGUCGUAGUCCUCUGCAGUUCCUGAAAAAUCCUCGCAGCUGAACUCCAACAGCCGAACCCUAUCUCGUUGACUGCGACGGUGGAAGAGGAGAAGGGGACAUGAUAAUUAUUUUUUUUUUCUUUUCUAUUUGUAAUCGGAUCAAGUGGGUUGAAUCAGGUUGGUUGAGUAGAUAAACUUUUUAUUUUUGAUUGAACUGAGCUUUAUAUUUACACCUUAGUAGAUUAUUUAAAAAAAAUUAGUAUAAAUAGAAGACUUAUACAAAAGUGUCCGAAAAAUAUGUCCUUAUAAUCUAAUUCUGUUGUAGUGCGAAGCGCUAGUAGUGAAUUUUUUUGAAACCAUAUUUGCAGGGGAAAAAGCUUACUAGAAUGAUAUAUUAUAAGAAGAGAAAACUAUUAAACAAAGAGAGCUAUAGCAAAUGAGCCUCACAAUGGUGGAUAAAUGUUAAUACCAAUACUAGAGCAAGCUUAAAAAAUAAAGUGACCUAUGGCUUCCAAGAUGAUAAUUUACAUAAUUUUUGAAUAGAUAGAUAGAGUAGAGAGGUUUCUCUACGAUCAUUCUUUCUAAUAAGUUGAAUUGAAUUGAAGGAAAAUAAUAUAACCAGAUUUUUCGAGAGUAGAGAUGUUUCAAAUAAAGUGACCUAUGGCUUCCAAGAUGAUAUCUCAUUAGAUAGUAUAUUUUAGUUUUGUUUUUAAACAAAAACCAAAAACAGGAGUUUGCGGAGUAUGUCAAAAUUCUCUAGAAAAAAGGAGAUGAUACUGAAGAGAGGAUCUUAGAAUAUCAUGAAGCAGCUGAAUACGAUAGCAGCAUGCUAGUGGUAAUUUGGCUGAAAAGAAAUAAUAUGAUAUUUAGAUCACUUUUGCGGUCCUAUUCUUGCAGUUAGCAAAAUAAAAUGAUUGGUGACUUUAUAGAAGGAGCUUAGUUCUUAUCAGGUAUACGCUACUACUUAGUUAUCUCCUUUCAAAUUUCAAUUUUAAGUUGGCCUUUUCUAUUUUUUAAUUUAAAUUUUGAUGUUCCAUCUACCUAUUUCAGAGGUUUUAUUGUUUCACCUCUGUAACUAAGUUUAUUUGCUCUAUGAAGAAAAUGGGUACAUGCUAUGCUUAUACAUAUACUAAGUUUAUUUGCUCUAUGAAGAAAAUGGGUACGUGCUAUGCUUAUACAUAUCAUAUAUAUAUAUAUAUAUAUAUAUAUACACACACACACACAAUUUAACGCACUUAAGGUAUAUUCAAAACAUCAUUUAGCUUCGUUGAUGCAAGGAUAGGUUAAACGAAGAUGUAAUUGAGAUUUGCUAGUUGAAAUUAUUGUGAGUUGGUAAUACCAAAUUGAAUCAAAUGAGGCCAAUAAGAGGUCGUGAUCUCGAACAAUCAUUUUCUGUAUGGAAAUUUAAUUCUCAUGGUAACAAUGUCAUCCAGUGCAGUUGUAUAAGGUCAGGGGCUCAAAUCCCUGCUUACACAUUCACGAAAAUGGAGGUCCAUACCUCUGUUCAUUCAGGUACGAGCCUACGAGCAAGUUAAAUAAUAAUAAUCAUAAUAAUAAUAAUCAUGGUUCAAAACGAAGACAACUUUGGAAAGAAGAAAUUGGUCACAUGGAUUGGAUGCUUAUGUUUGGGUUAAAUAUUUGAGCCUAAUGGGCUUGGAUUUGGCCCGUAUAGCCAUCAACUCAGCCCACCUCACAUUAGGUCCAUUAAAAGUUAGGCCAUAAAAAGAAACAACUAGGCCCAAAAUGAGUUGGGCUUCUACAGUGAAUAACGAAUUGGGCCCAGUAAUAAACUUGGGCCUCUAAGAUUGCUCUAAAAGGGUCGGGCCAUUGAUUCACGUAGUUACUUAGAAGUAUGGGACUCAAAAAUCAAAAUCCAAAUUUGUGCGUUUAAAAUCAGAAUGUUAUUAUCUUCUACGAAAUUUAUAUAUAUUAUAUCACAAUAAAUUAUUCUAAAUUAAAAUUUUAAUAUAAUGGAAUUUGAACUCAGUUAUUUAAAUCCCCGAACUAAGUACAAACUUAUAUAUUUUAUGGAAUGACAAAUGAAAUAGUCUCGCAUUGAGAUCGACCCCACUAUUUUUUUUUUUUUUUAGUUAAUGCUUGGAAUGAAUAUCUUUGAGAUUGAACCCUAGUCACAACUCACAACAUGUAUAUCUUGGGGUCCCACCACCACACUAGUGUGUAGAGUGGGAUAGGUAAUUGAUAUAUCAAUAUUUAUCAAAGUUCAAAUAGCACUAACUUUAUGGAGUGGAAUUAUGUGACCAUAAAUCCUUGUCAAAUGCUCCUUUUCUUAAUUUUGUAACUCCGUCAAUUUGUGUUGGUAGUCACAAAGCACUAUCAAUUUCUUAUUUUCACUAUUUUCAGUGCUUCAGGAAUGAUUUGGCGCAUUUGAAUUAUUAAUUAUAAAUUCUAGAAAGAGACCCCACCAUUUUAGGUCUGAUUCCAAUGUCUCCUAAACUUUUUCAUAAUCAAGAUGGAUAAUAGUUUCGAUAAAAAUCUUAAUCAUAAGUUAGAAUAAAAUUACUUUAUCUUAUCUACUAAAUAAUAAUAAUUAUUAUUAUUAUUUGUAUUGUUUGGAGUAUUAUGUGAAUUUACCAAAUAAAGUUUGGUCGAACUCCAGCAUAAGUGGACGGUGGAGAAUUGCCCAAAUUUGGUAACGAGGGAGUGUCGAAGGUCAACUCUUUGUCAAAAUUCAACACUUACUCCUCCUCCUAUUAUUAUUAUUAUUAUUAUUAUUAUUUAUUUAUUAUUUAUAAGACCCCUAAUAAGGUGUCAACGUACGGAUCGUCGCCCAAUUUAAAAAGUUUGCUUUUUUAUGGAUUUUACUUUGUUUUACCUAUUUUUAUGAGAGUCUAAGCGAAAAAAAAAAAAUCUAAUAUGAAUAAUAAUGAUAAUAUUAAAAAUUGACCCGUCAAUUAAAUUUAUUAAUUUUUUUCUUUAAUUUGGUUUUACUAUCUCAAUCAAUUUUUUCCGCUUCACACACAAACGGAGCGACCGUUGUGAAUUUUAUUACAAAUCAAAUUAUACUAUACAGUAUAAUUGAAUUAUUAUAUUAUGCCGAAUCUUAUGGACAAUAAUUACCGGCCUUUAGAAUUUUAAAAUAAUAAAACGAAAUUAUAUAAAAUGAGAAAUCACGUCGGUUUCAAAUUUUAAACCUUUUCUUGUGAUACCAUGUUAUAACUAUUUAUUAUUUCUAAAUAUUUAAAUAAAUUUAAAAAUUAUUUUAAUAUUUUAUAUUCAUCAUUUACAUGCCAACCACAAUGGUUCAAAAUGACUGCAACAAUACAUGCUAAUCGUACGUACCAAUAUCAUACACACACAGUACUACAUAAUAAAUAUAAAUAAUAAUACAUUAAGAAUGUUGUUGUACGUACACCUAAAUACUUUUACCAUUAUUUUUAUUUUUUUUAUUACUAUUAUUGCAAUGCGAGUUCGAAGGGAUUACAAAGGAAAAAUCUCGUGACAAAAACCUCAUUAACAUUAUUAUGUGUACUUCACUUAGCCCCAUUCUUUUAUGAUGUAGUUAUUGAGGUAUAUGGGGGGUCGUUCCAUGCAUAUUAAUUGUUUCCUGCCUCAGCAUGUCCUGUUCCUACAACUCUUUUAUGCACUGCACACUCUCCUCGUCUUCUUCUCUUACGAAGUCACCAAUUGAGCUAAAACCCCGAUCUCUGUACAAUUCCUUGAGCAAUUCUCCAAUCUGAGUUUUGAUUCUAAUCCAAUUGGAUCGGCCGAGAGAAGGCGAAUGUCGCGGCCGUUGCACCGCGGGCGAUCCGGCGGCGCCCACCACCUGUUUGAUCAAAUGUGCCAACCAAAUAACUUGUCUAUUAAUGGAUAUGGACAUGAGCUCCCGGGCUUCGGCGGGAUCAUGAGAAGUAGGAGGAAAUUGAUGCUCUUCGUUUUCAAACUCGGUGUAGUUUUAGUCACUGUUUUUACCCUUCUCGGCUCCUUUUAUUGGGCCGUCUCCCUCUCCGUCUCGUCGUGGAACAGCGUUUACCGCAAUUACCGUCGGCUGCAGGAACAGCUUGUCGCGGACCUUUCCGAUAUCGGGGAGCUCGCGCUCGGCGUUUCGAAGUCUAAGGAACUUGAAUUCUGCCCUGAAGAGUACGAAAACUACGUCCCGUGUUAUUACAAUGUAUCGGAGAGUUUGGAUUCAGUGGAUCUUGAAGCGAAUAUAGAGUACGAGCGUUGGUGUUCUCGCGGCCCUUCCUUUGGUUGCUUGAUUCUCUCGCCGACGAAUUAUAGAAUCCCGCUUAGGUGGCCGAACGGGCGAGACGUCAUUUGGAAGGAGAAUGUGAGGAUCACUGGGCAGGAGUUCUCCUCUGGGAGCUUAACUAAAAGGUAGAUAUAGAUGUUGAUGUGAGGUUUGAUUUUGACUUUGAUUCGUGUGCACGACGUGGUUUAUUUACCUGUGUGUUCGUAGGAUGAUGGUAGAGGAAGAGCAUAUCUCUUUCCGCUCCGACUCCCUGAUGGUUGAUGGAGUCGAAGACUAUUCGCAUCAGAUAGCUGAGAUGAUUGGACUGAGGAACGAGUCUAAUUUCAAUGAGGCAGGGGUGAGUGAGAAAACUUUUGUGACUUUGUCAUGAAUAAAUUCAUGAGAUUUUAGUAGGAUGCCUUAAGGAAAGGAAGUUCUAUUCUGAUAGUUUGUUCUGCUGUUAAAUUUCUAUAUCAGAAUGAUCCGAGUGUAUGCGAGAAUGAUGAAUGUUUAGUUUAUCGCAUGGGAAUUAUGGGCUUUAUUUUUAGAAUCAUGCUAUUAGCUUGACAUUUAUUAUUCACAUCUUUUCCACUAAACUGCAGCAGGAAAUAGAUUUCUAGUCAUUCCUAAAAAGUAAGUACAGAUAUAAUUUUGUCAAUAUUAGGCUGAGAACUAUUUUGUUUUAGUAUGUCUUUGGAGACAAAUUUGUCUCUGCUGGCUGGAAAAUCAUUCAAAAAACGCUCGAGACAUUCGAUGUUAUUUCCUCGAAGCCCGUUUUGAUUCGUGAGGGGAAAGGGCUCCACCUGGUGUUGAUUAUGGUUUUCAUCAUUAGUUUGUAGUGUUUCAUAACUAGUUUGAUAUAACUUAUGCAUCAGUCCUUGGAAUUUUACAGAUCAGAACUAUUUUAGAUAUAGGGUGUGGAUUUGGUAGCUUGGGAGCACACCUUUUCUCAAAGCAGCUGCUAACUAUGUGCAUUGCGAAUUAUGAGGCUUCGGGCAGUCAAGUUCAGCUCACAAUGGAGAGAGGCAUUCCCGCUUUGAUAGGUUCAUUUGCUUCGAAACAGCUCCCAUAUCCAUAUCUUUCCUUUGAUAUGGUGCACUGCGCUGGAUGUGGGAUUGAGUGGGAGAAAAAUGGUAUGCCUCAAUCAACCAAAUUUGCUUAAAAUCAGGCCUGCAAUGAAUGAUUCAUGCCUCUUCAUUUGUUCUCUUGUCCUCUAUCUUGAACUUUUUGUUUUGCAAUGAUUAGUCAAUCUCUCUUAUUCUAGGUUAACUAAUAACAACAUUGUUUUAUGCACAUAAUUGGAUUUGUGGAAGUUCACUAGUAAUUGUUUAGAUUCGGUAGAUGGGAAACCAAAAAGCCAUUAUCAAUUGGAAAAGUGGAUUAUUGAAGGAAUGUGCCUUCCCUGUAUAAUAGAAUAUUUUCAAUUUUUAUCAAUGAAUUCUUUAUCCAUUAAUUUUUUUUUUUAUAAAAAAUAUCAAUGCAUACUUUUUAUUAGUAAAGUUGGUCCUGUCCUCUGGUCCUGUUCAAUAGCGUUUUUCUAAGAAACUAAAUUUCCACCACAAGGUAUCAUUAUUUUUGUAUAAAAUAAUUUAUUUCUUUUGAGCUGACUUAGGUCCCUUCUAUCAAAUGACCACAGUAGAAUAUUAAUCAUUGUUUUUAAAUUGGCCUGGAUCUCUUUGGAAACGCCCCAGUAAAACAGUAAACACUACUCUUAUACUGUGUGUUUACAUUUUGGUCCACUUUAUUUGUUAUUAAACUUAUUGCUGUUUGUCAUCUCGUUGCAGAUGGAAUAUUCUUGAUUGAAGUUGACAGACUUUUAAGGCCUGGGGGUUAUUUCGUCUGGACUUCACAUUUGAACACUGUUAGAUCUCUGCGUGACAAAGAGAACCAGAAGAAAUGGACGGCCAUCCGUCAUUUUGCUGAAAACCUUUGCUGGGACAUGUUGUCACAACAAGAUGAAACAAUUGUGUGGAAGAAGACUACUAAAAAAAAAUGUUACAGUUCUCGGUAAGCACUCACAUGAUUAUACCGAUGUUUGAUCUUAAUGAAAUUUUGCCACCUAACACUGGUCAUAAAUAGAAAAGCGGCCUUUACAUGUAUAUUCUUGCAAAGUGAUCUAUUUGCAUUUGUACUCUCGUAAAACCUAGAUUAGAGUAUACAUGCCCUACAAUAGUACAGUUUCUCAGAAAUAUUCUUAUCUCAAGUUGGGUAGUCCUUUUGCAGGGAUAUAUACACAAAUUCAGAUUUUGAAAGGAAUUCUGUCUGUAAUUAGAUAAUUUUGAAGUGCUAUAUAUGGAAAAACGGGCGUGCACUUAUAUGUUUGUGAUUUACAAGGAUAUAUUUUACUUGUUUUCCAGGAAAGCUGGACCAGCAGUCUGUGGUAGAAGCCAUGAUACUGAGUCUCCAUACUACAAACCACUUAAUCCCUGCAUUGCUGGAACAAGAAGUGAGCGGUGGAUUCCAAUUGAAUAUCGAACCCCCUGGCCAGCUCGGGUUCGAUUGAACUCAACUGAACUUAAUAUACACGGUAAUAUACACCACAAAAUCAUUUGUUUUUCCCAUUUUUUGCCUGUUUAUGCAAUUAUUAACUCUACACUAUCUGGGAUGGAAGGUUGUCCUGUUUCAUAUGCAGAUGUUUUUGAGUUGAAAUAUAAACAUAUGUACUGCAGAAAAAAUUAUUAUUAUCAUAUAUGUGCCUGCAGAAUCUGAGUUUUCAUACAUGUCCUUUAAAAAUUUAAUUUCUUCUGUGGCCUUAUACUUGUAAUUAUACUCCUAUUUUGCAGGAAAAAACCUUCUUUUUUUUUGAGAGAGGAAGUAGAAAAAUACCUUUAUCAGAGUGUUUUUUGUAAGAAACUGCACUUUUGAGGGGCAUCUAUUAAAAUUCAGAUGUUAGAGGGGCAUAUAUGUAAAUUGAUGAUUUGUAGGGAUAUCUGUAAGACCCUUUUUUAAAUUUCUAUUGACCGGUACUUCACUUCCUCAGGCGUGCAGUCAGAUGACUUUGCUGAAGAGGUUUCAAGCUUGAAUUCGGCAGUGCGGAACUAUUGGUCGCUGCUUUCACCACUUAUAUUCUCAGAUCAUCCAAAGAGACCUGGAGAUGAGGAUCCCCAACCACCAUUCAACAUGCUAAGGAAUGUGCUAGACAUGAAUGCUAGGUUUGGUGGAUUUAAUGCCGCUCUUCUCGAAGCUGGGAAAUCUGUGUGGGUGAUGAAUGUUGUGCCUGCAAGUGGUCCUAACUAUCUUCCUCUGAUUUUUGACCGAGGAUUUGUAGGAGUUCAGCAUGAUUGGUAGGUUACUUUUUGCUCUCAUUCGAUACACAUAUUUUUGCAGCCUCAUGCAGAUAUUAGCAUAUACUGAAACAUAUCUGGGUCAAUUCUCUUAGUACAAGCUAGCGUAAGAAACUUAUGCUGGAGAUCUAACUUCACGAACCUUUGGUGACAUAAAUUGUUCCAGAAACUCAUAGGUCAUAACCUUUUCACUAUUAUCUACAACUAAAAUCUUCAGGGUGUAGACAAAAUCUGUCACUGGUUAGUUGUUUGUAAUAUAAUCUUUGUAUGUGCAUGACUUAUGAAUAGUUAACAGAUAUUAGGGGAAUAACGUCCAUGCCAUCUUGAAUGAUAGCUCGAAGUGUGGGACUGAUAUUUAUUACACCUCUGGAUAAAAUUAUUCUUUAAUUAUAUCUGGAGUCUAAUUACUAGUUUUGUGGAACUUGGAUUAGGUGCGAAGCAUUUCCGACAUAUCCAAGAACUUACGAUAUGGUGCAUGCUGAAGGAUUGCUUUCGCUCGAGAGGCAUCAGAAACACAGGUGUUCCAUGCUUGAUAUAUUCUUAGAGGUUGACCGCAUUCUCAGACCAGAGGUAUGGCUUAAUUACUUCUUUAUUUGCGAAUUCUUUGAGUUACAAGAUGGCUUACGGGCAUAUUUGAUAAGCCAAUCCAAGGAAUUGGACGCGUAGAGCAAUUUUUAAUUUGAAGAACAUUGCUUGCAUUCCUUAUUGUUGAAUAAUUCGAAUAUUUUUCAAUAUUAGAUAUCUAGUCUUUAAGCCUAAAUAUCUGGUCUCUGGCCCCAUCUCACGCUGGCGCAUGUGCAGGGCUGGGUAAUACUUCGCGAUACAGCUUCUCUUAUUGAAGCUGCUAGAUCAGUGACUGCACAGCUGAAGUGGGACGCCCGUAUGAUAGAUCUCGACAUCAGCAGUGAUGAGAAACUCCUAGUCUGUCAGAAGCCCUUUUUCAGGAGGCAGCAAUGAUUAUAUACCAUAAGUUAACAAUUAACACAGGUUGUUAUUUGGCGGAUGAUGGCAACAAUAAGGAAAAGAAGGAUUACAAAGUUAAAAACACAGGAGGAGGUAAGAAUUAUUGUUCAGUUAGCAUAAUCUUGUACUUCUAUGGAAAGCGCAAGGUUUCCAUGGAGCUUUGUAAUUAGCGAAAUAGGCAACGGUCCUCUCAGACAUAAGGUCAUGUUGUUCUUUUUCCUGGUCGAAGUUCAGUAUAAGGAUAGGAAUUGUAGCUGCGAAAGCUAUCUUAAGUUUGAAGCAUACAGAAUAAAGGGUUGAUGCUGCAGUACACACACAGGUCACAGCCAAUGUAUUUAUGUUGGUAUAUUACUUUUGAACUCAUUCCUCCUUGAAUGGGCACUUAUUCUUUCUUUUUGUACAUUCUUUCUUUGGUUAUUGUUGCAGAACCAGUUCAGCAAAUCAAUGCAUCAUUUUGUGUUUACUAGGAGAGUGUUUUCGAUUGAUUACGGUAUUUAACCCUGCAAAGUAUUUCCUUUUGGAAUUGAACAUGAAAAUUUAUCCGACCUAAAAAGGAAAAGAGUUACUUCGUAGCUGCAAUUUACACCAAAAUUUGCAUUAGUGUUGAUGGUCAGAAUUGGACAAACAAAUUAAAUUGGGCGAGUGUUUUACCUAGUAGAUUUGAUUGGUUCCGAUAAGAGUACCCAACUCAAAUUUGUUAAUAUUUGCCUCCCUUUGGCUAAAACGAUUGAAUUAACUUAUCAAUCUAUUUGGUGAACCAACUAUCCAUUGCUUUAUGAUUAGAGGCAAGUAAUAUAUUUGGUGAAACCCACUUACUAUUUAUAAUAGGUUUAUUAGAUAAUAAAGUAUGCUUAAUUAUCGUUUGAAUAACAUUCGCAUGAUACAAAAAUAAAUAAAAAUCCGACCACUUACUAUUUAUUAUAGUUUUAUUUAUCUUUUUAAUAAAAUUAGCAUGAUACAAAAAUAAAUAAAAAUCCGACCUUAGCUCAGUUGGCAGAGCGGAGGACUGUAGUUGUCUUCAGUAAUCCUUAGGUCGCUGGUUCGAAUCCGGCAGGUCGGAAAUUUUGCUUUUUGUUUUUUUACAUUAUAAUUCUAAAUUAUUAUGAAGUUUGAUAUAAUUUUGUAAAUUAUAACGAUAAUUUUGUUGUUACUUCUGCACCACAAUAAACAUAAACAUACUAUGAGUUGCAAGUUAAAAUAAUAUUUGAGCCCUUUGAGCCGCAUAACGCCCAUGAAUCGUAAGUUCAACGGAGUCAAGGCCAAAUCCUCGAACCGGUAUCUUCACGGCUAAACAAACCCUUCCCGUCUCCCCACUCACUCCUCUCGCGACCUUUUCCCCCGCCCAUGGCGCGGCGCCUCUCCGCCGUAAACCGAACGUUUCUCUCCAAUCUCUCUCCCUCCUCACCCCUCCCAAACCCUAACCCUAACCCUAACCUCUGCACCGCUUCAUCCGGCGCCGCCGCCGCCGCCGCGUCGAUCCUCCCCUUCCUGAGCUGCAAGCGCCGGAAGAAGCUCCGCAAGAAGAUCGCGAGCCCCCGCGUGGCCCCGAUCCAGCGCGAGCCCUCGCUCCGCGUCGACGCCCUCGACGUUGCCCUGGACCGCGACGCCGCGUUCCGGUUCCUCAACCGCGCCCGCUCCUUCCUCGCGCGCCUCCCCCUCCGCUCCCUCCCCCUUCCCCGCCGCGGGCUCCCUCUUCCGCGAGCUCGGCUUCCCCCGCGGCCGCAAGGUCUCCCGCUAACGCCCUCCGCCACCCCCUCCUCUUCCACCUCCCCCGCCUCCCCCCGGACUCCGUCCCCCACCUCGCCUUCACCCCUCUCAUGGACUCCCUCCUCGCCGAGGAGCGAGCCCUCUUCGACGCCCUCGAGCCCCGCCGCGUCCAGGCCGUGCGCAAGCUCCUCAUGCUCUCCGCGCGCCGCCGCGUCCCCCUCGCCAAGCUCCACCACUGCCGCGGCGUCCUCGGCCUCCCCGACGACUUCCGCGACCGCGUCCGCAAAUACCCCGACUGCUUCCGCGUCGCCGUCGACCCCGACGGGCGCCACGUCCUCGAGCUCGCCCGCUGGGACCCCGCCCUCGCCGUCAGCGCCCUCGAGCGCAGCUUCGUCGCCGACGAAUCCCGCGCGCGCCGGACGUUCAAAUUCCCGCUCCCGCACCGCAAGGCGUUGCCCCUCGACGAGGACGACGCGCAGCGGCUCGACUCGCUGACGACGCUCCCGCUGAUCUCGCCCUACUCGGACGGGUCGACGCUGACGCCGUGGUCGGUCGACGCCGAGAAGUAUCGGGUCGGCAUAAUCCACGAGUUCCUGAGCCUGACGCUGGAGAAGCGGGCGUCGAUCCACCACAUUGUGGAGUUCAAGGAGGAGUUCAGCCUCACGCGGCACACGUACCAGAUGCUGCUCAAGCAGCCGCGCGCCUUCUACCUCGCCGGCACGGAGAUGAACUGGACGGUGUUCCUGAGGGACGCCUAUGGCGACGACGGCGCGCUGAUCGACAAGGACCCGCAGGUCUUGUUCAACGAGAAGCUGGAGCGCUACGCUUCUUGCACCGCGGAGUCGGAUCCCGAAUGAAGGGACGGAUAAAUGAUGGAGGUGAUGAUGGUUCCAUUUUGGUCUCAAAUGCUCGUUGAGGCAUUAUUGUUUGGUAGGCACUGAUACGGAAGGUAAAGUUUAUUAUUAUCAUUCAUUCCAUUGUCGUGGCUUUUUUUUUUCUUUUCUUAUAGUAUUUCGCUGAUGGUUGGAGCUGGAAUUGCUGCGUCUUUUCAUUAUUGAUAGAACGUAUAGCAUUGAUAAGCUGAAGAUACAGCACACUUCUUAAAUGCCGAGCACCAGAUCCUUACGUUCUGAUGCUGCCCCUUUGGUUGCUUAUGACUAUGUUUCUAAACGGUGGGAUUUAACAUUUUACCUUUCGGUUGAUUAUUUCUGCCUGAUUUCAUUCAUGUACAUGUACUUAAAUUCACUUGUCAUUCACUUUGGCACGAUUGACACAGCCUGUUACCCUUUUCUAUAUUGGCGUUGUAUCCUUUCGUCAUUAGCCAAGUAGAUAAGUUCAUUCUCAUCUUCUGCUUUCGCCAAUCUAUAGUAUCUUCUCCACACUGAUGUAGUCCAUUCUGCACUGCAGAUGUAUGGUGCGCGAGAGCUCUCUCGAUCUUAGAAGAGCUGAGCUGCUGAGCCUAAGAUUGGUUUCAGCUAGCCUUCUGAAUUCGUUCGCUUUUACCUGAUCGACAAUUUCAUCGGGUUGCCGAUCAGAACUAUCAGCUGCGAGUUGCCUUGUGCUCAGUUAAGCGGGACUUUGUUUUGCCAGAAACUGCCAAUGGGUAUGGAUUCGCAUCAGUUAUACUCUUAUUACCGCUCAGCAUUGUGAAUGAUGGUUGGGUGGGUCAUUUUACAUGUAAAUUGCAAUAAGAGAUCAGGCCCUGUUAUCCCCUUGCUUUUUUGGAGUUUGUGGAGAGACCAAAUCUACUUGCUAGUUUCGUUUAAUAUGAAUCUCAUCUGCUCUUGUAUUUACUCAGAGUAGUUGGUGCAAGUUUUCUGAGGUGAAGUACUUUAUAGCUACUCAUUGAUGUGAAAAAGUCUAAAAUGUAAUAGUCACGUAGAUAAUGUGGUGUCUCCGACUAAUUUUGUUCAGGUUUUAAGAUUUAUCCAUUCCAUUAUGACUUUUAGAAAAAUAUUUUUAUUAUACUUAUCUCUCGAACAGAAAAAUUUGAUUGAUUGGAAUAUAAAUUACGAGGUGUGACCGUCACAACACUAGACUUCCUUCACUAAUGCAGGCUUAAAAUGUCCUUUCGAUUGGUGCUCAUUUUGUUUUCAACCAUUAGAUUGAAAGAUUUUAUGUACUAGCUUGAUGAUUAUUUGGUGGUUUGUUCAACAAGUUUUAGUGAAGUACCUUUCAUCAUUAUUAUUAUUUUUUUCAAUUUUUGGUACGAUUCAUGAGUUAUUAGUAACCAGCUGAUGAACAAGUACAGCUUUAUCAUUAGCGUGGAAGUUGCAGGAGUCGUCGCUUUGAGAACAAUUUUAAGGGCCAGCCAAAAGAUAGAGACUUCUGAAUACUUUAUUGCAAGAUUGUUGUAACGCUUGUACAAUUAGUGAAUUAUUUCUUCGCAGUUGCAAAUUAAUUUCCCUGAACCUUCGAGUGACAAUGCCUUCAAGUUUAUAACAAAUCUCCAUAUUAUUAUCUCACUUGUGCUUGUAAAUCAGUUCCAUUUCCACUUUAAGGUGGCGCUUCGUUUAUUAUUAUUGUUAUUAUUAUUAUUAUUGAGGGUAAUUCACUGUGGUUCUCAAUGAUCAGGAGGGGAAGCCGCAUUAGAUUAGGCAUCAUCUUACUUUAAGAUAAAUCUUUGUUUGUGUCCUCUGAUUAUUUAGCUUCUAUAAGAAAUACGACAGCAACUGCAUUCCUGUGCUUACUGGCAUUUCGAUAAUUUUUACGGUUCCCUGAAAAUUACUUCUUUAAAAAUUUUCCUACGUCAUCUUUUUUUUUUUCCCUCUAAUUAAAAACCAUAUGAUAGUUUUAUAUUAAAUAAUAUUUUAAUAAGAUUUACUCGUGUAUUUUUUUUUUCAGAAAAAUAAUAAUGCUGAGCUUUGUUAAUUUCUAUCAAACAAAUGAAACACUAUGAUACGUCAAUAAAACAUCUUGAGCUUAAAGAUAAACUAUACAUGGACUUACAAUUUCGAGGAUUGUCACGUUGGACUGAACCCGACAUUUAGGAUUAAAUCGGAUAAAUCUAAUCUGGUUCGAAACCAGGCGUGGUCCGAAUUAAACCUGGCUCGACCCAGUCGACGAAGAUUGCUGACGUGGUGGACCAACUCCAUUAAUAAUUUCACCGGCAAUUACAAUUGCAAUAGGAAUAAAAAAAGACAAAAUAAAUAAAAUAAAAAGGAAAGGGCUUUUUAUCGCCUGCGUGGUCGGCCAUACACGAGGAUAUAGCUCGUAACGCGGUGUCUCCCUACUCUCCCCUCUUUCUCGCGUCGUCUCUCUCGACCUAGGGUUUACUUUCGCUCUUUCCCCUCCCCAUUCCCCAAGCAAAAAAUUCGUGCCUCGCUCUUUUAACUCCCUUCUCGCCGCGUCCAUGGCAGCUAGGGUUUGGAGGGCGACGCUCCUCCUCCUCCUCGCCUCCGCCACCUCCGCCGCCGAAGUAUGCCCUAGGGCCUCCGUCGCCUCCUCGAUCGUGGGACAUGAUGCGGUGUGCUCGGCCCUCGAUACAACGGCGGUCGAUAGCUAUCCGAUCGGCGUCGUGGAGGUUUUUCUCUUUUGAUUUUUUCCCCCCCUUCUAAUUCCCUGUGAUUGAUUCCACCCUAUGUUGUAUUUGAUUUGAUAAAUCUGUGUCUUUGUGUCUUUGAUUCAUUUUUUUUUAAAAUUUGAGAUAUUAGUAUGGAGUAUUUAUUUUAGAUUCCCUGGUCCUAAUUAGCUUUGUGAAUUACUUAAUUCUAUGACGGUUAGAUUCCGUGGAGGAAAAGCACAAAGUAAUACUAAAAGUUAGCUUUUUGGUGGUUGAAGAGAAAUAUUGCUUGUGUUUAACAGAAACCAAAAAGCUAGCUUUGACUUGUCAUUUUGCUGUCAAUCGAAAGUCUGAAUGAAGCGCUUUUUAAUUUUUCCAUAUCUUUUUGAUAAUAAAAUGUUUAUACCAGGAUAGAUUAGAGGAGUUUCUUACGAAAUAGUAGUUAUUUUUAGGGCUAAAUUACAAAGUUGCAGCUUUUAAGUGUUGAAAAUAUUUUAUAUCAUGUAGAUUUUGUUUACUUUUGAUGGAAUGGAGGUGCAUAAGUUCAUUUGUUUUGUUAGUUAUUACAUUGUUGACUAUUGUAUUAUAUAAUCUGACGGUUUAAGGCUUUGGUGAAAAUUCAAAGCCAAAUCAAGAUGAUUCUGUCCUAUGAACUGUGGUUUAGAAAGGUCAAGGACGUAAACUUGCUUAUCAAUCAGAUGCUUGAGAAUUAAUAUUCUUCACAAGGAUUAAUUUUAAGCAUGUAAAUCUAAACUCGACUUUUAGGCUCUAUCAUUAACACCGGUAGGAUUCUGACUGCUGAGUUUUAAGUUGAUUUAGGUAGUUGAGUUAUACAUGCAAAAUUGAUUUGAGAAAUUAUUACUUACACAAUGCCUAUUUUAAUGUUCUAGCAUUGCUAUCAUUGUGAAAGUAACAGGCCGACAAUUGGCUGCGCUCAUUCCUCACACAACACUUGGACUUUUGAGCUAUUUUUUUUCAUCCUGAUACUUGUUUUUCUCUGUUGUAUUUUUCAUCCUGCUAAAAAUUAUCUCUUUGUGAUUUUCUAAAUCCUGAUGCACUUAUCUAUACUAGGGAGAUGAGGCUACUCUGCAAAGGGCAGUGAAUCUGGUGCACUGGAACAGGGAGGAUUAUGUGGCCGUGCUUUUCUAUGCUUCCUGGUGUCCUUUCUCCAAAAUUUGCAUGCCAAAUUUCCAGAGUUUGUCACUGCUGUUUCCAUCCAUCCGCCAUUUUGCAUUUGAAGAAUCUGUCAUCAGGCCAAGGUGUGUGUUCAGUUAGUUAUAUUUGCCGUCUAUAAUUUGAUCAUUCAUAUGCAUGGGAAGUUACUGAAAUUUUUAAAUCGCAGCAUUCUCUCAAGGUACGGAGUUCAUGGCUUCCCAACACUUUUUCUCUUAAACUCCACGAUGCGUGUGCGGUACCAUGGAGCUAGGACAAUCAAUUCCCUUGUUGCUUUUUACAAUGAUGUUACAGGUAAUUUGAAUUUCUUCCGUGGUUUAUUGGGUUAUUUGAGAUGGUUCAUUAAGUUGGGAAAAGUUGAAGAACCUCUUAAGGACAUUCUUAAGAAUUACUUCCUAACGAGCAUUUUCUUUUAGACCUGAACCUUUUGCGAGGGUGACCUUCAUACAUACAAGCUUUCUUGCUAUUUUUACUCUCAAAUGUUCCUUUGUUUUUGUAUCACAUAGAAUGAAAUUCUAUUCAAUUAGAAGUCGUUUUAACAUCUUGGCUAACAGACCGACUGUCCCUAGCGCAAGUGGCAAAAGGGCUUGGUGGUUGGUACCCGAGACCAAAGUUCGAAUCCUAGUUGAUCCACAUUUCCAGCUAAGUUUAUUUCUAAAUGAAAUAAACGAAGCGGGUAGCAGCAUGCUUACCUUUCUCUCAAAAAAAAACAUCUUGGCUAACAGAUCUAAAGGUCAAAUUGUAGUUUUUAUUUUGAAAUUGCUAUUCGUCUUCUCCUUUCUGAAGCUGGUCCCGGAUCUUACAUUGUUGUGUUUAAAUUCUUGAAGGGAUCAAUCCUGCAUUGUCGCAUUCAAUGCCUGUGGAGAGGAUCGAAGACUUGCUAGCCGGCGAUGAAGUAAAGGAAGACAUUGUGCAGGAAAACUGCCCCUUCUCAUGGGCAAGGUCGCCGGAGAAACUCCUUCAGCAAGAUACAUAUCUGGCACUGGCAAUCUGUUUUGUGCUCCUGAGGGUGCUUUAUUUCCUUCUUCCGAAACUUAAGACAGCCCUAAAGCGGAUUUGGAGGCGGCAUACCCGUUUUGCAAGUUUGAUGAACUUGGGCCAUUAUUUCGAGGCACGUAUGGAACAAGCCAAGCAAGUAUUCGGGAGGUUAAACCCAUGCAAACGAAGCAACUUACGGAAUGGUGCGAUGAAUGCUACAAAAUGGGCCUGGGCCUCGAAAUCACUAGCGUCAGUGUCAAUCGGAGAGCCGAGCUCCGGGAGGGCCUCUGCUAGCGAAAGAAGAUAGAAGUAGAGUUCUUGCUUUGUUUGUCUGUAUAGUAGAUGGGCCACGCAAUGUUGUUUUUCUGAGUUUUUUCUUUUUUUUUCUUUUUUACUUUUGUUUUUCUACUUAUUUAUUGGUAGCGGGUAGGGGCGUCGACAAUUUCCUCUCUUGGGGGAAGAUGAUUUAAUUGCCAAAUUAAUUGCAGUUACUUCCUGUGGGGUUAUCCACAUCUACAUCUGAUAUUCUUGGAAGAAUACACCCCCUGUAUUCAUGUUGUUGCCGGAGAAUACUAUUUAGCUUAUUCAGAAAUCUGUCGCUGGUGGCUGCAUGAGCUGCUUGUGUUAUUCCACAAUUGCGUGAUCUCGAUCUCUUGCUUUCAUUAUGUUAUAACAACAGAUUCAUUUUCACAAUUGGAGCCCAUUUGGGCAGAUAUGAUCGGAAAUGAAUGAAGUGUAGUUUGAAAUACAUGCAGAUGAAAAUAUAGUCGUUCGAACUAUCUAUGUUUUGUUUGGGUGGUAAUAAAAAAUGUUGUGAUUAUAAAUAAUUUACUAUAUUGCAUAGAGUGAAAAAUUAUACUUUAUAAAAUCUUAUUACUUCAUAUAUACGAUUGCGAGAUUAUUCCCAAUAUAGGGAGGGAAAAAUACUGUAAGGUUAAGUUUGAUUUUGUUUAAGAUUAUUAUAUUCAACUGCAGUAUAGUUAAUUAAAUCUUUUCUUGUAAUUUUAAUUACAGUAAUUAAGCUUAAAUGCACUAAAUUAAACACCACAUGUAUAUAGCUAUUACUAUACGUAACCAAUUAAUUUAUGGCCUCUGGAAUGAUUUUGACCUUUCAUGCGAACUGGGACUAAGGACGUACGGUAACGCGUAAGCAAAGUCCGCUAUGCUAACUUACCGAUUCAGAGUUUCAGAUAUAUAUUCAUGUGAGAUUAGUGCUCGAACGAGCGACUCUUCCUGGUACCAUCUCUAGACUUAAAUUUAACCAAUCGUUAAGCAAAGUACACGAAACGGAUGAUGUCAUCUAGCAAAUGACAACCACCGUUACCUCAUAUACAUCAGUUAUUCAACCUGCUAAUAACCAUACAUUUUUUUUCUUUUUUCGCUUCUAUCUCUAUAUAUAUAUCCGCCACUCAAAUACGCAUAUGAUUAAUAAUCCGCACGUGUAAUUCUGGAAGGAUGGAAAUUAAUCCAGUUGAUAUUAUUUGCCUUAUGCAUGAUGCAUGGUCAAUCUUAUUAUUUGAUCAUUAAUUGAAAUUUCUUGCAUUUAUUGAAGACCAUAUAUACGUCCAUGGUAUGAUCGAGAACAUAAGCUAAGACAUACAUGUAAAUAUCUAUAAUUAAUUCAAGCACGUGCUGAUACGAAGAGCGCACCCAUCACACUUAAGACUCAGUCACAAUGCUCGUUGGCUUCGACCCGACUCAAUCUACUUAGACGUUGGGUCUAUUGUUGGGCAUCUUGUCGUUAGAUCUCUUGUAGAUCGCACCUCUACUUAACUUAUUAGUUUCACCUAACUCAAUUUAUUAGUCUUUUGGAUCUGUUAUCACGAGACAGAAUGUUGGACCUAUUUUAGCCCAACAAUAAAUAGCUAACAGAAUAUACAUGUAUUUAUCUCAAUUUGAAUUGAGAAAUUUAAUUAUCUGAAUAAUACUAUGCGCGGCUGGAAUGAUAAAACAACUGCUGCUUUUUUAAAAAAAAAUUCCCACAUACAACACUAACUAGUUCUGUGAGAAAAGAGAAGAAGAAAAUCAAGAUUAAUUAGUUUCGUGAGGAAUGCAAUAGAAUAUAAAAUGCAUGUGUUGUAUUUUGAUUUUUACUCCCCUUUCUUGUUUUUCAUUUAAAAAAGAAAAAAACCUAGAGCAUAUGAGAUAUGGUCCAUAAAUUGAUGAUAGAUACAGUACUGGACAAGGUCGAAUUCAAGCAAAAGUUGUGAUCAGCUUAGUAAGCUAAUCACAAGUGACAUGCAUGAUUCGUGAACAUGCAUGUCCCGAGAAUUUAUCCCUGCCGUGCAAAAUAAAGAGUCUUGUCCACGGCGCCCCGUGACCUCCAAUGACAAUUUUGAACGUAUACCAUGAACUUAUAAUUAUUGCAAGCGAAAAAAAUCAAACAGCUAAGCCUAUAAAUACCUGUUAUAACUCACGUAUGCUUGUAUGAAACGUUGCAUGCAAAAAUAAAUGCUUAAAAAAGGUACUUUGUUGAGCAAGAGAAAGAGAUACAUAUAUACAAGCUAGGAAGGGGAUAUAUAUAUAUAUAUAUGGGCGUUUCUUUAGAAGCCUUGGCCAUGGCGGGAGCCGACAACGUCGAUUGCUCUAUAGACUUUGAUGAAGAUGAUGAUUGUCUCUUUCCUCAACAUCUCCUGGCGAGUAAUAAAUUAGUUGGAGUAGAUGAGAGUGAUGAAGAUGUUGAUGAUAGUUCCUCGGAAAGUAGACGAGGAUUCAGUAGAGAGGAGAUAAAGGCGAGUGAUGAAGAUGAUGAUAGUUCUUCGGAAAGUAGACGAGGAUGUAACGAAGGGGAGAUAGAGGCGAGUGAUGGAGAUGAUGAUGGUUCUUCGGAAAAUAGGCGCGGAUGUAAGGGAGAGGAGGUAAAGGCGAGUGACGAAGUAGAUGAUAGUUCUUCAGAAAGUAGACAAGGAUGUAACGAAGAGGAGAUAAAGGCGAGAUUGGCGUUAUGGGCUAAAGUAGUUGCUUCCUCCAUUAGAGAAAAGUUUGGGAUAUGUUGAUGUUAGUUAUCUAGAUCGAAGAGGAAGCUUCAGUGCUGAGCCUUUAGAGCGCUUGUGAUUGCUGGAUUAAUCCUUUCUUUUUGGCAAGUUAAAAGAUUUAAAUGUUGAUUUUUUUUUUAUUUUUUUUUUUUUUGAAAUGCAAUGUUCUCAGCUUUAGCCUGCAUGUGCAUGUGCACGUGCAUGUGCUUUUCUUUCUGCUUGUUGUACAACUGGUCUAGCCAGAUUAUUGUUGACCUUGCAAGCUGUCGUAUGGUUCAUAUGUAUCUAUGUUGUGUACUGUGCUUCUCUGUAGACUUUUUUAGUUAACUUUUCUCUUCAUAUAACUGGGUUAACCCAUUUCCCAAAAAAAGUUGAAAAAUAACUGUCUAAUAAAUACAUUGUAUCUUCAUAUUGUCUCAAAUUGUUUGAAGUUAAUUCAUUGUAUCUUUAAUUGUUUGUUUUAAUUUGCAAAAUAAUCAAUAAGAAUUAGUGCUUCUACACAAUGCAAAAGUUUACCAUUGGACUGUGAUUGAUAGAACUCUAGAUACAAGCAAAUUAUUGCGUAAAGUUAUAGAAUAUCUAUUUUAAAGAUGGGAAAAAAAGAGAAGAUGAUCACUAAAUAUUCAAUUCAGCUUUUUUUUUUUAGUAGUCCAUUAAUUGGUAGGCAUCUUUGAACACACAUUUUUUAAAUUAUAGUAAUUCCUCACAUUUAAAUGUGUUUCCUUGCAUUCUAAAUUUUUUUUAAAAAAAAGCUUAUAAAAGACGAGUAGUCAAGAAGGAUGCUUAUCCUUUAAUUAAUAUUCUCAAUUAAUUAAUUAAUGUUCUGAUUAUCUAACUAACUUACUUUAUUAACUAGUUAUCUAACUAAUUAACUAACUAGUGAAAAUAGCUACUCAUUAUAUAAAUCUAGUAUUCUCUAAAUCAUGUACAGUUUAUUAAAUUAACUUUCUAAACUAUCAUAUAUUUACUUUUAUAUUUUAUAACCAUACGCAUCCACCAUUUUCCCUCUUCUGGCCCAAUCGUGAAGAAGCUAUUAUUUUAUUUCUAAGAAUAAUUUAUUUUUUAGCUAAAAUACAAAAAAUUAAGAAUUUACUUAUUUUAUAAAUUAUUUUUAUUUUAGAAAUAACGAGAAAUAGUUUUAUUUUGGAAAACUUCAAAUAUCGCCUAUGUGGUUUCAUACUUUUUACUUUAGUACCCUGUGAUUUAAAAUGUAUCAAUUUAGUACUAUGUGGUUUCACACUUUUUUAUUUUACUACCCUGUGGUUUAAAGUGUAUCAAUUUAAUACUCUGUGGUUUCAUUUUUUUCUUUUCAUCGGCUUUUCUGUUAAUAUUUCGUUAAAUUAUAAGCAAAAAAACUUCAGAUACCCUACCUAGAUUUAUCUAAUAUUUAUUUUAUUAUUCUUUAAUUUUAACUUUGUCAUUGAUUUUUUUUUCCUCCGUUAAUAUUUCGUUAAAUUAUAUACAAAAAACUUCAUAUACCCUACCUAGGUUUAUCGGUUUUAACUUUGUCAUUGAUUUUUUUUUUCCUCCGUUAAUAUUUCGUUAAAUUAUAUACAAAAAACUUCAGAUAUCCUAUUUAGAUUUAUCGAAUAUUCACUUUAGUACCUUUUAGUUUUAACUUUGUCACUGAUUUAACAAAAAAAAUAGUGAAAUAGAUAAUAAAAAGAGAAAAAAUAAAAUCAUAGGGUACAAACUUGAUACAUUUUAAACCACAGAAUACUAAAGUAAAUAAAUGCAAAAUCACGAAGGCUAACUUGAUACAUUUUAAAUCACAUCAUAUAUAUAUAUUAUUAUAUACAUAAUUUUGGAAGCAUGAUUUUCAAAGUAAACUACAAGCCGCCAUGUGGUGUAUUUUUAUGAGAAGUUUUAAUAUAACUUAAUAAUAGUAUAGCUUAUUGUGUUUCAAUAUUAUAUAUAUAAAAUAGUUAUGAGAAGUUCUAAUAUAACUUUAUAAUAGUAUAACUUAUUAUGUUCUAAUAUUAUACUAGCGUAGGGACCCGCGCGAUGCGGCGGGUAGAAAUAUUUUAGUAAAAAUUUAUAGUCUAUAGAUUUAACAAACAAAUAAAAACGUUAAAAAGAAACAGAAAAAAUAUUUAAAAUAUUAUGAAGAGUAAUAAAUAAUAAAAAAAAACUAAAGAGAUUCAAAUUCACACUUAACUAAUCAUAUAAAGAUAUUUAUCAAUCCUAUUAUCUUUUCUAAUUCAAAUUAGAUUUUUCUUAAAAAUCAAUUAUUAUUGCAUUUGUUUAUGGACAUUCAAAUUGUCAUGCCAUCAAAGAAUUAGCACGAAAUGUAAAAAAAUAAAAGAAAAAAUAUGAAGGAAUAUAUGAUAGUCAUACAAAUAAAUUUAAAAAUAAUAAUAGUUAGUUUUUAACUACCGUUAAAUUAUAAAAAUCCACUUUUCAUAUAUCUGUAAGCUAACAAUCUAUAUAUUAUGUUAGUUUGUUGAUGUAAAUACUAAUUUAAUCAGUUUUUUUUAUAAUUUUACUCCAUCAAUUUUGUUUAACUCAAAUGACUUAUUCAUGAACAGUAAUAUGCAAUAAAAAAAAAAGAGAGAGAGAAAUAAUACAUAUUCAUCCGACAUAGAAGGAGAGGAAUCUGCAUUAGCAGCUUCAAUUAGACAAUUCGAAAGUUUUAUCCGAUGACUCCAUUUUGCCAUUCUGUAUCGAAAAAAUCUCCUAAUAUCAUCUAUGGUCUUCUCGAAAGAGGAUAAAAGAGGGCAUUAGACCAAGAACAGUCUCUUUCCUUUUAUAUAAAUAAAUAAAAUUAGGAAGAGUUCAGAAAUUUUGGGAUGUUAUUGGCUAUGAUAAUAAUAAAAAGACUCACUUUCUAAAGCAAAGCUUUCUAUCCUCCUUUAGGCUAGCAACGAAGCUUUAAUAACCAAGAGGUCUUAUCUUUUAUUACAUGCAUACCAUUAUUUAUUUGGAGUUUGAUAACUAAGAGGUCAUGGCUAGCUUUUAUUACAUGCAUACCACUAUUUUGUAUUUGGGAGGUGAGAGGGGAGCAGUUUUGGGAGAUGAGAAGGUAGUAGUUUUGGGGAUUCAUUUAGUUUUAUUUCUUUUAUUAUGUUAUAUGCAUGGAGUUACAUGCAUAUAUAUUUAUAUUUCAAAACAGUUUUGGAAAAUGAAGAGGUAGUAGUUUUGGGAUUCAUUUAGUUUUAUUUUUUUUAUAAAACUUUUAUUAUGUUAUAUGCAUGGAGUUACAUGUAUAUAUAUAUUUAUAUUUCAAACCAUCAUUAAAAACUUUUAUUAUGUUAUAUGCAUGGAGUGACAUGCAUAUAUAUAUUUAUAUUUCAAAUCAUCAUUAAAAAAUAUGAAAAAUCUAAAAAAAGAAGAGCUUGCCAUGUCAUCAUUCUUAUUGGGGAUUCAUAUAGAAUUAUAGAUAUAUAAAGUGAUUUCAUGAAAAAUUUUAAUUAGUAAUAAAUUACUCAAAAAUUAUAAUUAAAAGUGAGAAAGUGUGAAACCAACUCGGUAUUUGAAGGUUACCCUUUUAUUUUGGAACGAAUCGCCACGUGGGCGCAUCGAGCCUCGUUGUCUCCUCCUUUGCGUCCCCACGCGUCGCUCCUCGCCGUUCUCCUUCCUCCUCCUCCCUCCUCGGAUCUCCCCGCUCCAAGCUCACAACCCCCACCAUUAAUGGCGGCGCUCGGAGCCCUGGGCUACUACUCCCAAAGCAACUCCCCCUCAUGGUGGAAGGAGAUCGACGCCUCCGAGGAGUGGCAACGCGGCAUCUGCUUCGCACUCUCCGCCUCUUACGCCCUCGUCUCCCUUGUCGCCCUGGUCACAUUCCCUCCCUAAAUCCCUCUCUCUCUCUCUCUCUCUCUCUCUCUCUCUCUCUGCUGUGCUCUCUGUAGUUUUUCUCUUUUAUAUCACUGGUAAAUCGUGUGGCAUUGUAGUGUAGUUGGAAAGAUUGUGAUGAGAAUCUUCGAUUCUGGCUUAAAUUUACUAAAAAAAUAAGUGUGAUUUGGAUAAUAAUUACUUGUAAUGUUGUAAGAACUGGAGCCCUAUGCCAUUUAGAUUAUGUAAUAUUGCCUAUGGGCACACUUUCCAUUUUACCAUAGAACGUUGGAAUGAACUGUUCCAGCAGUUUUACCUUGGAACCUUGGACAGGCAAUAAUGUCGUCAGACAUGUGAUUUACAUCGAGGAAAGAAAUUAUGUUGUUAGUGCUCAUACUUGGAACCGAUUUUUGGAUGUCAUAAUUCCUGUUUUUGUACUCUUUUCUCCUUGGAAACUGAUGGUUUCUUAUUAUAGAAGUAUGAUUCAUCACUGCCCGAUCAAUUGAUUUUCCUUGUGCUGCCGAAAGUUUGAAUGAACAAAACACAAGUGUCUGUUUGAUCUAGCUUCUCAUACUUCGCUGCUCAACGAGCAAAAGUCAUUCAUUUGGCAAAAUACAAGUUACAGAGAGUGGUGCAUAGCCAUGAUGCUUACAUUACUUUUAUCUGAUUAGUCUUUCCAAGCCCUUUGCACAUGUGGGAAUGAAAUAGUUCUAAAUUACAUUUUAGACUCGGUAUGAUUUUUAGAAGUAUCAUUGCUUUAAGCGACAAUUAUGCAUGCAAUUGCUAGUGCAUCUGACGUGUAUUACAAUGCUUAUAUUGAUUUGGCCCAAUUUGAUUCUUUUUAUGAAACUAUCAUAAAUCUGAAUGGCUUAGGAAUUUAUUUUUCGUAUGGGGAAGUUAAGCCAGUUACUAUUCAACAAAAAAAAUAAAAAAAAAAGUGACGGAGGUAUAUGUUAUGAGCUUUGUUAAACUUAUUUUUUUAACUUACUGGCAUUCUUUUUGUUCGUUUGUUCUGAAAAUUGUCUUUGUCAGGUGCAACUCAUUCGGAUACAACUGAGAGUACCAGAGUACGGAUGGACAACACAGAAGCUCUUCCACUUAAUGAAUUUUGCUGUCAAUGGAUGUAAAUUCAUGGUUCUUGUGUGUUCCCCUGAUUUAAUCUGCUUUUUCAUUUCAAAUAGUAACUGUGCUUGUAUUUGUUUGCAGUGCGUGCAAUUCUAUUUGGCUUCUACCAUUCGGUUUUCCUUCUCAAGUCAAGAGUAAGUGCCCGCCUAUUGUUGUUGCCAAGAGAUUGAGCAAACUGAGUUACUCACAGUAUUAAUUCAGGCCCUGGAGAUGGCACUUCUUGAUCUUCCUGGUUUGCUGUUCUUCUCAACCUACACUUUGCUAGUCUUGUUUUGGGCAGAGAUAUAUUAUCAGGUACUAUUACUUUGUUUGUUGCGUAUAUCCUCUCAUCUAAUAGUCAGCCUGAAGUUAGUGGUUCUAAAAUCUAUUGUCUGUGUUUAGGCUCGAAGCCUCCCAAUCCAUAAACUGAGACCAGCAUAUCUUAUCAUCAAUGGGGUUGUAUACACCACACAGGUAGAUGAUUUUGUUUAAAUAUCUCAGGCAUGUAAGGUGCUGUAACCUUUUUCUCUUUUGUUGCUUGUAGAUUUGCAUUUGGAUCUAUGUGCAACUUUCUUCUAGGCCUGUUGCUGUGGAGGUUGCUAAGCUUUUCUUAGCAGGUUUCAUUUUGCAGCUAUGAGACUUUCUAUAAAUUCUCUGCGUCACCACAUUGCACUUAUUUUGUUUUUGUCUGAAUUUAUAUACAUGGUUGGUUGACUUUAUUGAUAUCCAAAUAUAUUGACAUCAAUACCUCCAUCUUUUUGUGCAGUUGUCUCAUUUUUUGCUGCUUUAGGAUUCUUGAUAUAUGGUGGAAGGUAUUGAUUCUUCUAGCUGAAGAAAGCUGUGGACUUUCUUUUACUUUUCAGGAAUAACAAACUAUGGAUUUGUCUAGGCCGGAUUGAAUUUGAUAGUGUACACCUGGUUAUCCCUACUAUUGCUUACUCAGAUUCUUGUCUGAUUAAAGGUUGUUCUUCAUGCUGAGGCGCUUCCCGAUUGAAUCUAAGGGUCGGCGUAAGAAGCUAAAUGAGGUAAUAUUUAUCAACUUGUUUUCCCCCUGCUUUAUUACUUAAUUCGGGAUGAGUAAACAGUGAUCGACUGUUUAAUGUUCACUGGAAAGGGAAAACGUUUUUCACGUUGGUGCUCCUGUCUAGUGUGGCAUAUCUGAUGUGAUGUUGGUCACUUGAUAGUAUUAUGGUUUUCCCAUCACUCUUUGUUUUCUUUAAGGUUUCUAACUUCAUUGACGAUAGUAUUUUGGAACUUCUACAUUCUAAAAUUAUAAUGGUUAUGAAUAUGACUCGUUGUGUGAUCCUGAUCUUCUAUGACACGAAGUGCCAUCAUUUGUCUCUUUCUAGGAGCAUUUAAUUUCCCUACAUCAGUGUGGGAAAUAUCAACCCUUGCAAGUAUUUUAAAACUAUUCUUCUAGUGUAUUCGGAGAUCAUAGAUGCUUGAUAAGAACCUUUUAUUGUGUCACUUAGAACGUUAUCAUGCAAAUAGUCAUAAAAAAAUCUCUUCUGACUUACGGACGUGAGUUGAAAUCUCUAUAAAUGGUGAUGCUUCAAUAAUUGAAAUUAUUUCUCCAUAGUGAUUAAACUACGAUGUGGAAAAAAAAAAGAUAAAAAAAAAAAUCGAAGGACAAGCAUUUACCAUCUAAAAUUUUCCGUGACCUUUUUCCGGCAUCCUGCAUAUUCUGGAUUAGUUCUCAUCUGAGGACAAGCUCUGGCACUCCUUGGUUUUUGAUAUGUGACAACUAUAUUUAUUCAAUUUCUCUUUUUUAUGCCUUAUGGUUUUCUAAUGGUAACGUGCUGUACAAAGGGUGACUAUUCAUGCAUCACAAAAAUUAAGAGCCAGUGGAUUGGCAGUAUGGGGUACUAAAUUGGUUUCUGGAGUUCUAAAUUAAGGUUAAUGUAUUGCUUUAGUUGACUUCUUUCUUAAGCAUCAACUAUGCUGAGCUGCUUUUAUUGCUUGUGCGGCCUCAUGCUCAUCGUGAUAGUCUUAUUUUGUUUCACAGGUUGGUUUUGUAACUGCAAUAUGCUGCACAUGUUUUCUUACACGCUGUUUUGUGGUAGGUCACUGAGGUUCUGAUUUUUGUUUGUGAAUUCCAGCGACAUUAUCUUAGACUAGCUAGGUGGACUAGACUUUUUAUUGUUGCCUUAUAAAUUCUUGAUUUUUCUGUAGGUCGGCCUUUCUGCAUUUGACAAGGAUGCCGACGUUGAUGUCCUCGAUCAUCCUGUGCUAAAUUUGAUCUAUUACAUGGUCAGUUGCUGCUUUAUCUCUCUUCCUUAUUGCCUCCUCUGUAGUCGUGGGAAACGAACUUUCUCAUCACUCUUGCUUUUAAUCUGAUCAAAUUGGUGCUGGCUUUCCUGCUACUAUAAUCUUUUCAGUUAGUUGAAAUUCUGCCGUCAGCCCUUGUCCUUUUCAUACUUCGUAAGCUGCCGCCAAAGCGAGUUUCAGAUCAGUAUCACCCUAUCAACUAGUAGCUCAGUCAUGGUGAGGAUUCCUAACAAGGCAAACCAUAUUUUUAUGCUUUUUAGAGCUGAAUUUGAUCAAUUUGUUGAUUGUUCUCUUUUUCUUACAUUGCUUUAUUUUUAUCAGAUAGUACGAAAAUUUUCGUGAACACCGAGCCACAGUUGCUCUGCUUCAGGGAGGAACUACAACGAAAUUUUCUCCUCUCCUUUUUCUUUUUCUUCUCUCUCUCUCUCUCUCUCUCUCUUUGGUUUCUUUUAUCUAGUGAUGGGAUUACUGUAGGCCUACCGAUAGUGUAGCUAGUUGCCGAGUACUCACGCUUGUAUUGAGUUUUGCGUGGAUAAUAACAUGAAACUAACUGUUUCAAAUAUAUGUGCCUGUUUUAUUAUAUGUUUCUUCUAGUUUGCAAAUUAAUUGAAGAAACUAGAUGGUAUAGUUCCCCUAAGAUAUAUAUUUGGCACUAUUCUUUGUAGAAUAGUAAUCAAUGAGAAAUUAUUUCUAAAAAAAAAAAAAAAAAAAAAUGGUUGUUCCAAAGUAUGACUUAAAAGGCAUCAGUUCCCCAUACCACCAAAAAGCAAGUAGCCAUCUUAAUUUUAAAUAGUUAAACCGCAUUAUAUGAAUAAUUCUCCUGGUUAAAUAAAAUACCAUUUCUUUGGGUCCAUCAGUUUUCCUUAAUAGCCGUUAGUAAUGUGAAAACAAAAAUUUGAUAAAUGCAAUUCGUGCAUUUAAAUUAAGAGGGUUUAAAACUUGUACUUCGCCAUGUGAUUAUCGUAGAAGCCAUAUGUUGCUUCAUUGGUGAGUAUGUACACUCAUAGAGAGGUGCAGAAACUUUAUAAGAAUAUAAACGUUUUUCCUUUUUUUUUUUUUGUUUUGAGACAAAGAUAUAAAAAUGUUAAGCAAUUAGAUUUUGAACUUAAAAUUUCGGAUACCAUUCGCGUUAGAAACCAUAGGUAUUUAAAAGGCAAUUUUUCCAAACAAGUCAUAUUAUAUUAUGAAAGUUAGGCUGUUGGAAGUGCCUACAAAACAUUUAUCUUUCAAUUAGUUAAUUUUAUUUGUCUUUUCCUUCGCGCUUCACAGAUUUUAUUAACAAUCAAAGCUCACAGAGUCAUUAAUUUUAAUAAAAUUUAUGACUUCUCAGGAAAACUAUAGCUUAAAUGAAAAGCGACAGUUGCAUCGCUUGUAUGUACAUAAAAUUUCGUAACGAUUCGAAUCGUCGAUCAACUCCGUUAAACUUGAUCUAAAAUAUUUAAAGUACUUAGAAAAUAAAUUAUGCGAUUUUUUGAUAUUAUUUACCUAGUGAAUGAAGGGGCUCAAAAUCAACGGCUGAAAAUAAAAAUUUUACAAAACGUGAUAAUAUGACAUUAAAAUUUUAGAUCAAAAAUAUUGAUCUUGUUUUAUAUAGUAUAAAGAAUUUUUUAUCAAAAAUUCACGUGAUUAUAUAUAUAUAGAGUGAGGCUACUCUGCUAUCGGAAGCACGGAGCCUUCCGUGCUUCCAGCUCGUUUUCGAUGUUGCGACUUUCGAAUCGUCGAUCGGCUCCGUUAAACUUGAUCUAGAGUAUUUGAAGUACCUAGAAAAUAAAUUUUAUGAUUUUACGAUAUCAUUUGCCUAGUGAACGAAGGGGCUCAAAAUCAACGGCUGAAAAUAAAAAUCUUACAAAAUGUAAUAAUAUGACAUUAAAAUUUUAAAUCAAAGAUAUUGAUCUUGUUUUAUAUAGUAUAAAGAAUUUUCUAUCAAAAUUUCACGUGAUUUGGAUAUUUCUACACCGUUAAACUUGCAAACGGCUCACUACGGCCAUUGAAAUUUGUUGAUUUUGAGCCCAUUCGAUCACUAGGCAAAUGAUAUCGAAAAAUAAUAAAAUUUAUUUUCUAGGUACUCCAAAUACUCUAGAUCAAGUUUAACGGAGCCGAUCGACGAUUCGAAAGUCGCAACAUCGAAAACGAGCUGGAAGCACGGAAGACUCCAUGCUUUCGAUAGCAUAGUAGCCUCACUCUAUAUAUAUAUAUAUAUAUAUAUAUAUAUAUAUGCAACUAAUUGUUUUCUUUCCCGUACUUUCACUACAUAAAAUUUCGUGACGAUUCGAGAAGCGACAGUUGCAUCGCUUUAAACUGUUCGUCUCUCGGAUCUAACGUGAGGAUCCGCCAUGCCCAUGACACGGGUAUAUCUUCCGAAACCAUCUUGAGUCGUUGAGAUUGCAGAAUUGUGUCUCAGUGCAUUCGGGCUCGAGCGUUGUCUUAAAAAUAAUUCUUUUAAAUAUAAAAUGGGCUCGAAUAUGGCAAAAACAGGGCAUGACCGGACGCGGACCGGGCCGGGCCGGGCCACAUGUUUGGUUUUCUGGGGCGAGACUCGACCCGAGACUUACUUAGUCAGAACCGGGUUUUGGGCCGAGUAGAGAACGCAGAGAACUUCGUACGCGGAAAUAUCUGCGAUUUUAUGCAUCUUCUCUGCAAAAUGAAAAUAGAAAAUAAAUAAAAAAAAAAUUGAUGUUAACAGAGGUGCAGAGAUAUUCUUUUCGUCGUUUGUGAAACUCAACUUAUAUUUGCGCUAAGACAGUGGUCUCGUACGUGUAUGACUGAAUGCAUUUUCCAUGCAUUUAUCUUUUAUUUUUUCAUUGUCUUUUUUUCUUUUCUCUUUUUUUUCUUUUCUGUUUUUUAAAGAUUAGCAAGAAAAUUGGCACGUUUGGUUUAAAGAAUUUGAGACUUCAAAUAAAAAAUCAAAAUAAGUGUGGAUUAAAAGAUUGGCAUUUUAAUUUCCACUCUGAGGGAAUUGAAUCCCUCUCGUCAUGGGGUUAAGAGCCAACUUUGAUUUCGAAGUGAUUGAGUAAAAUAAUUUUUUUUUUCUUGACCGAUAAUUAUUUUGAAUUCGCCGUCGAAAAAUUUGAUGAUUAGUAUGUGAGAUUUCAGAUUUAAAGCAUUGUUGCUUUAUAUUUAUAAGUAAAUGUAUUUUCAAAAAGAUUAUCAAAGCCGGUAGAAUACUAUUUUUCUCAAUUCAAGCAUAUUAGGAGUGCCGAAGAAUAUAUUAGACUUAGUUUUCCGAUUAUAUUUGCAAAGUCUCAGAAUGCUAUGCUAGAUGACAUGCAAUGCUAUAUAUGCUGCAUGAGAAUAAUCAUUUGAUUCGUGUUUGCUUGCUGGUACAAGCUGCGCAUAUUAUUCUAAUCGAGUUGCGAUUUCCAUUAACGAAUUCUUUUGUCUAGUUUUACUGAAAAAUAUGUUUACCAAUCUACCCUCAUUUUCAAAAUAUUUCUUAUUAAUCUAGUCUCACUUCAAGGGAUUAAGAAAACAAUAAAAAUUUAUUUUUAGUGGUAAUUAAGAAAGGUCUUUCUCUCCCUUUCCGUGGUACGUACCUACUUUUCUCUCUCUAACUCUCUCUCUCUCUCUACCCUCCCCCUCUCCCCACCGGUUCUCUCUCUCUCCUCCCCCCUCCCCCCACCGGUCUCUCUCUAGUAAUCUAGUUCUCUCUAGCUCUCUCUCUCCUCCUCCUCACCCCACCGGUUCUCUCUCUAUCCCCCAUUCUCUCUCUAACUCUCUCUCUCUCUCUCUCUCUCCUCCCCUACCUCUCUUCACCUCCACCCCCACCGAGAGAGGGAGGAGAGAGUGAGUUAGAGAGAGAAGGCUAGAGGCUGGUCGCACUACAAUAAAAACGGUCUAUAGCGACACUUUUAAAUAUAGGUGCAUGUCAAAAAAGUACUGCUAGCUAAAAUUACCGACACUUUUAAAAAGUGUUGCUAUAUGUGGGGUCGCUAGGUAUAUAGUGACAGUUAAAGAGUGUCGCUAUAACCUAAAAGAGUGCUGCUAAUUUACCAACACUUAUUUAAGCAUUUAGCAACUGCCGAAAUUCUAUCUCGUUGGCUGCGGUGGCUGAGGAGGACGACCGUAAAGGCUCUUCGUCUAGAAUUUCAGUGGAUUGAGUGAAGAGAGAAGAAAUGAUAGUAAUUGAUUUUUCUUUUUUUUUUCUUUUCCGUUUGUAAUCGGGCCAAAUGGACUGGGUGUGGUGGGUUGAGUAGAGUAAUCUUUUAUUUUUGGUUGGAUUGGGCUUUAUAUUUAGGCAUUAGUAGAUGUGUUUUUAAGUUUUAGCAUAAAUGGGACACUUACUCAAAAGUGUUCCAAACAUGUGUCCCUAUAACCUAAUUCUGUUGUAGUGUCGGGAUGGGGGUAGGGGUGGGGGUGGAGGUGAAGAUAGGCGGAGAGAGAGAGAGAGCUAGAGAGAGAACUGGUGGGGGAGAGGGGAGAGGGGAGAGGGUAGAGAGAGAGAGAGUUAGAGAGAGAGUUAGAGACAGAAAGGAGGGUACAUAGCCGGGAAAGAAAGAGAAAAUCUCUCUUAAUUAUCACUAAAAAUAAAUUUUUAACAUGUUUUUUUUUUUGUUUUUCUUAAUCAGUUCAAAUAAGACUAGAUUAAAAAAUAUUUUGAACAUGAGGCUAAAUUGGUAAAUUUGUUUUUCAAUAAGACUAGACAAGAAAUUGGCUCGAUUUCCUUAUAUAUGCUUGAGUUAGAUUUUGCCAAUAAUAUAUUGACUAGUACAUGUCAUAUACAUAUAUUGGUUUUCGGUGCAUUAUAUAGAACUGCUAACAAAGAGUGCUGUUUAAUUAAUUUCUUAUUAUAACCGACUUUUUCUAAAGCAAAUGGCAAAGGAUUUGAUGGUUGAUACUUGAGACCCAAGUUCGAAUCCUAGUUGAAUCCUUUAUGUUGAUAUUCCACGAUAUUCCAGGUUACUGAGUUAAAAAGAUUUUAAUAAUUAAUUUUCUUGGGAGGAAAAGAUUCUUAAUUGAGACCGUUGGUUGUUAUAACCAAAUUAGUAUGCGAGUCCUCUUUCGUGGAAUGCUAACCCCAAAAGUUUGAGUUAACGUUUGAGCUGUUCCUUUUCGUGCUCUAAAAUGUCGAAAAUAAAUGGAUUAGCUGGAUUAAAAGUUCUCGUUCUUACUUCGUUUUCAGUGACAAAUGGACCUGCAGAAGUGGUAGUUGUUGGGUGAGAGAUGUAAUAGAUCAGAAGGCUUGCAAAUAUAGCACAGGUACAACAUCAAGUGCAACUUCACAAGGUAAGAAUUCCUGCCAAGUUGGCCAUAACGGUUGGGAAAUUAAGAACAGGAUAGAGUUGUUUCUUUAUUUCCACAAAUGUGGUCACUUUUGUAUCUUGCGCGUUUGUCUUCUUUUAUCGCGUUAUAUAUAUAAACAUAUAUCUAUAGAUCGUAGCAACUUAAGUAGACCUGAUCCUGUGAUCAUUUCUCUAAAAAUCUUUUUUUUUCUUUCUUUUUUUAAUCAUAUUCAUUCGAGAAGUCUAUGUAUGCUGGAUAUAAGAACAGAUAAAUACCUCUUGCAUGAUAGAAUUGAAUAUAUAGCUCUUGGUUUACUCUUUCCUGUUUUGCAUAUUGAGCUCUUCUUUCCUAUUUGUGGCAAUUUAUUUACAGGAAAAAGCUUAAUUAACGAGAUAAUUUCUAAUCAUUUUUUAUGCGCUUUGUUCUCGAUCGUUCCUGUUCUCAUGAUUAAUUGCUAGCGCUGAAGCGACAUUGAAUACUGUUUCUUCUUAAUUAGCUUGGUUCUUAUUAUUAAUUCGUGAUCAGAGUCCCGUUGUCAACAUCGGGGGGAUUCGUGAUCAGGGAUUGACCAAUGAUUUCGCAGUGCUAAAUUUAAGUCACAACCACUAGGCUAUGUACGAAGGUUGUUAUAUAUAGUUGAAAUCAUAAAGAUCUGAUGAAAUUAGCAUUAGAUUUGAUGGACUUUAGAGCUACUAUAAUACGUGCCUAGCAACUGUGCUGCUCAUUUUUAAAAGAGGAUUUGUUAGAUAUCAACAGUGACUCAAAUAUUAUUCACUUGUGCAGUUCUUGCUUCUCGAACAUGGGCUUAGAUAUAUAAGGUUAAUUUAGCAGGUUAUUAAUUUAUCCAUAUAUAUAUAUAUAUGUUGAUUCCUCUUGUCCUUAAAAAAAGUAAUCGAGUGCAAGGAUACUGUGUUUUUAGUGCGAAUCACUUACGACUCGCGUGAGUGGCGGAUUUGCGCUUGAUUUUGAUCUAAACAAGUAACUUGUCAAAUGAAAUGUCUGUCGAAGAAGAGAAAUGAUCGAUCGAUGAAUCCAAGUUUACGACCAGACCAGUUUUGACUGAAGUUAACAAUAGAACUUUUUCCAUAAAUUAUAAAAUAGGUUGAACAAGAUAUAUAUUCACGAAUUAAUGGUCUCACAUGUACCCUUUUAGGUGAUAUUUCUUGUAUGUGGUAGGUCCAUUAAAAUAUCACGCAUGUGUACAUCCAGGUACUGGUGAAGGGGAGAGUCUCUGUGUAAAUUAUUCUCAGCCUUUUUCAUGUGGUUUAACUUUAGCUUGUUGCCAACGCCAAAUGAUGCAAGGAUUGGAGAAAAAAGUAGGCAUAGAUAACAAAGCAGAGGAGAAAAAAAAGGAAGCAAAGGUGAAAAGCCCCUUUCCUUCCUUUUUAGUAGCUGAUACUUGUCGCAUUGACUCCUUGUAGUAGCUGAUGCCACCACUACUAUCCUUUUUCAGCUGCCUCCUAUUGUAGGAUUAGUUGUUAUCUACUUAAUUUUCUAACUCUAGCAUGGUUUAGUUUUAAGGGGCAAUUGUUUAUAUAUCCUUAUAAAAUUUUUUAUUUUUUUAUUUAUCCCUCUUAGAAGGCUAAUAUUGAAAAUAUCUUUUUUACGUUCCAACCUAUUUCAAAUAUACUCAUAAAGUUAAAUACUAUUAAUGAGCUCUGUUAUCUCUAUAAAAUUACUAUUUUGCCCUUUAAAAUAUACCUUUCUACCAUCACUGAUUUUUCUUAUUUAUUCUUAAGUUAGGGGCGCAAAAAUUAUUUUGCUUUUUGGUCAUUUCAAAUAUACACUUCUACCAUCACUAACAUUUCUUAUUUGCCCUUAAAUGAAGGGCAAAAGAAAUAUUUUAAUUUUUUAAAACUCUGGUAGAUAGAUAUUUAACUCACGUUUAACUCAAAUUAACUUACCGAGUGCCGACUAUAAGGGUAUUUUUGAAUAACGGAGAAAUAUAUAAAGGGUAUAUUAGAAAGAAAAAAAUAAAAAUAAAAGAGAUAUUUUUAAAAUUUUAAGAGGUACAUAGGCAAUUAUCCCUGGUUUUGAAUUCGAUUUGC
rnacentral:lncRNA from 1 species